UUUUGUUUUUGUUGGUAUGAAUUUGAUAGUUGAAAAUAGAUGAUGAAGGUUGUGAUUGGUAAGUUUCGUUAGACAAAAAUGAGAAAAAUACAAUUUAGAGUUUGAAAAUAUGUUCAUUUUGAAUCCGUUCCUGAUGUAAAGCUUGGGUUGAAAUUUCAGAGGGUGGGAGCAUAGGAGUCGAGCAAACAAUCAUCGAGUAUUGGGAUCGAGUUCGCACAUUAUGUUUGACAGCACAAUUUAGAAAGGAGCGUACGGUUGUGUGAUUGCAAUCUCGGUGGAGAACUAUCAACACCCAAUGCCAUCUUUGGAACGGAUCAUUGAGAAGGACAAAUGCUACACAGACGAUGGUUGGUUUUCUCUUGUAUCUAGUGUAUUGGCCAGCCCAAGCCGUUGGACAAUUUUUCCACUCCCAAUGCAUGCAGUCAAUUGAACCAAUCAUUCCUGGAAAGCUGGGACGAGCACUGUGGUCAAGAAGACGAUGAAGAUCUUCGACAUUUGGUGCACGCAGGUAUUGCGAACCAUAAAUGUUAACGAUUGCUGGGAAAAAUUUCCUCAAACACACUAGUGGUGUCGUCUCACCCAUUCGGCGGUACUCAUCUAAGGAGUCGGUAGAGCAUCCGUAUGCAAGCAUUCAGAAGGAGUUAGUAAGCUUUUUGUGUGGAGAGAACGAGUUACAACCCGCUGCAUCUUGCUAUGCUUGAACGAGGAGUCAUACUCAACAACAUCAGUCAUGAUGCGAUUGAAUAAGGAAGGGGGCAUUCGAUAACGCAUUCGGAAAAACCUAGCAUCAAAGGUUGGAUUUGGGUAGAAAUAAUCUUGCAUCAAUCGUUCGUGACCUUCCUCCUUAUUAUGCUUCAUUGACCGCCGUGAUAACGAACGAUGAUCGGGUGAUGUUGCUUGUUGUUGUUGCAUGUGGGCGGCAUAUAUUAUGAGUAUUUCUUGACGUUCAAGUUGGCACUCAUACUUUCAUUGCCUUUCAUCAGAUUCCCUACUAUGUGAACUCAUUAUGCACCAAAAAUUAUCUGUGAAAGAGAUUUAUGAAAUUUAGAUGAAGAAGAAGAAGAAUGUUGAAUGGUGGGAUGAAGAUGAUCAUAAUGGAUUAGUUGAUGGGUUCAUUUAUACACAAAAUGAAAGUAUUUUUUCUACAACCAUAUGAUCUAUCAUGAAUAGUUGAUGGUACAUAACAAACAAAACCAAUCGAAAUACACAUUAAAAAGAUAAUUCUUUUAAGAAACAUACAAUCCAAUCAUAUGAUAUGGGAAAUUAUACAAAUUAAACAAGCAAGACAUAAACAAAUUGGUAUAAAAUAACAAGUCAGAAAAUAUUAGGAGAAGCAUAAAGUGGGUUGUUAUGAUCAGACUUGCUACUGUUCUUCUUCUUCAUUAUCCAAAGCAAAUCCCCAACUAAAGGAACAAUAGGCUUCAUCUUCUUCUUCUUCUUCUUCGUAUUCCAGCCGAUACUCUCCGCCGCCGCCUUGGUCGUUUUGUUAUUAGAAUUAUUAUUCCAUCCGAAAUUACUGUAAUACCCACCACUCUCCAACUCCGCUCCAAGGUUCAAUAUCUGAGCCAAUGUCGGCGAGUUCACCUCCGCCGCCACCAUCUUGUCGUCCGCCGCCUUCCUGGCGGCGUCGGCCUCAGCCUGUGCCAGCUUGGACAUGUUCUUGUGGAGCUCAGCGUUCAACGAAGCCAGCUCGAUCUCGGUCUCACAGCCUCUCUCCAUGAGCUGCUUGAGCUCCGCCUUGGUCUCUUCCAGCUCGGCUUCCAGCCUCUUCACGCUCUCCAUGAUCGCCACGUCGUCGUUUGGAAAACCUUGUUGUUGAUGAUCAUCAUCAUCAUCAGGAAUGAUGGUAAUAUUAUUAUUAUUGGUAGGGGUAAAAGAGGAAUAAUUGUUAAAAGGGGAAGCGGAAGCGGAGGCGGACUUCCAGGAGGAGGGAGAAGUGGUGGUAGGAGGAGGAGGAUGGGGGGUAGACUGGUAAAUUCCAGGGACAAGGAUGCGUUCGCCGAAGAUGGCGACGGCUUCCUUGACGGAGUUGAAUGGGCGGGAAGUGUCCACGGAGGAGGAGUUGUGUUUGCUGAUUAUUUUGGGCCAGCCGCCGUUGCUAGCGGUACUAUCGUCGGCGGCGUCGACGUCCAUUGUUUGGGAGUUGAGGAGAUGGAAAUGGUGAUGGGUGAGUAUUAUUAUAAGUAAUUGUAACGAUAUGAUAAGGGAAUUGGAGAGGGGAGUUUGGUGGUUGGCGUUAAAUAUUUUUCUUUGCUUUUAAGCCAAACUAAAACGAUGUAUUGUUUUGUUAAGGAGAGUAGUUAGAUUAGAGAGUUAUUACGGGUGAAAGUGAAAUGCGGUCGGGAGAUUUACCCUUCUUUCAAGGUUAAAUCAAACUAGUUUCGAUAUAAUUCCGGUCAAAAUUACGAAAUUCGGUAAUUUAAUGCAUCUAUAAAUUAAAUUGCCGACAGAAUCAUUAGCCGUAUUAGGAAACAGCAAAAUUAACAACAUGUCACGUGGUGGAUUAGCAUGGUCCAUGCAUGCAUUUUAUUACACCAAAUAGCCCAUUUCUACGAGUAAUGCAGUUGUGGCAAUAUUUCAUAUAUGUAGUCAUAUGUAAGGUGGGGGUGAUUACAAAUCUAAAUUAACUAGGUUUGGUAACGGUUUGGCUCGGUAACGGUUUAAUACGUACAUAUAUAGUAUCCAACCGCUCCAAUUGUGGUUCUGAUGGUGACCCUGUAGCUAAUUAAAUCUCAGUCAAAUUGACAUAUAUGAGUGCAGAAUUAUACAAGAUGAUCAUCAUUAUGUACUUUGGAAAUUGACACCUAACAAUUUUUAGGAUUCCCCCAAGUUAUGAAGUUACAACACCAACCACUUGUCUUCAUGUUGACAUACAACAAUCCUCCAACCACUUUCCAUUCCACAAAUUAAUUAUAAUUCAAUCAAACGGCAUCGAGUAACAUUGUGCAAAAUCAUCACAAUUUCGGUUAAUGAAUUUCAUCUUCGAAGCCGCCUUUAGUUUCUGGUUCGGAUUCCAGGUUGGAGGUUGCUCAGAAGUCGAAGCCGCAUAUCAUCUUCCUUGAAGUGGAGCAGCUCAGGUUGUUGGAGGCUGUUAGAGAGUUGUUCUUCCUAUUGGUUCGUGAAACCAGUUUUUAGAUUGCUUGUGAGAGUUGACGUAUAGUUUCUAUACUUAAUUUAUGUUAGCUGGGUACGGGAUUUUUUUUGUUAAAUUCUGUUAUAACUCUUGAUGGAAGAACGGACUUCACCAUUUAAUAAUUAGUUACAGAAGAUAAUAACUAAUCAUGGAAGGUGAACGGAGCCUCCAGUAUUGUAACUAGUUAUUAAGUCGAGUAAUUAUUUACAUGUAUAUGUAACUAACGAGCGGAUUUUACCCCGCUAACCAAAUACCCAAACUCCGAAUACCUGCAAAUUGAAAAAUCAAUCAGAAAACCAAUCAACAUGGUUGUAAUACCGAAACCACCAAAAAGAAAUUUCUAAUGCCGUACAGUCUAUGAGCUAGCUGUUAGAAGAUCUAGACGUAGGACACAUUACAUCUGUUGUUAAUUCAAGAUGCUAGGAUUCAAUGGAUUUUCUUUGACUUGAACAAAGUUCAAUGUAUUUCCUAGAUCAUCUAACGCAGAAAGAUCCAAAGAUCUGCAGAGAGGAUUCAGUUCCCCUCAAUCAGGAAGUAGCAUAUACCUUCCAGGAUGCAUUUAUACCUUUCCUUCGUUUCUUUUGAGUUACUUUUAAACUCCUUAACAAGCUAAGCAAUACUCGUAAAGCUGAUGAAUCCACAAGCAAACCAAAAAAGAAACACCAUAAUUUUGACAGCCAUUCAAUUAGAAAGCAGAAAGAAGGGGCUGCGAAAAUAUCUAUGAUUUCUAUGAACUAAGAUGUGUUGAAUCCGAACUACCAUGAAUCCGACAGGAAAAAGUUCGCCACUACAUGACUAAACUUACACCCUCAUAUACCAGACGAAAAAUGGAGCAAGAAUGAUGCACAUUAGGUCAUACAUGACCACCAACUAUAUCUGGAUAAAGCCAAAUCCUAAUAUACUGUACCUAAUCAAGGAAACCAGAAGAAGCACGACAGCAAGUUAAGUAUGGAGAUGGCUAGGUUCUGGUCCAACAAAAUAUUUAAAACAACAUGACCAUAUUGUACCUAUUUAAUAUUGACCCUUAAAUAAUAUGAAGAUCGAAAAAUCAACACUUUUUGUAUGGAUUUGUACAAAUCUAUACACAUUUGUAUGAUCCGUACAACUCUUCGUAAAAAUUUGUAUGGCCGGUUAUCGGAAAAUAUUUCCAGAAAAGUAAAAGUUUCCAGAAGCAUAGAGUCGACGACGAUGAUCAUGUUGGUGUGGAAAUGUUCGUCAACAGGAAUCGAGAUUGUUGGGAAAUUGAUCGAUAAGCGACAUUAGUUAAAUCAGAUAAUGAGAAGGACAAUUCGAUUACGAGGGGACCAAACUAGCCUGUACUUCCCAGUCCCCCGUGGAGUUUGUGUUCCUUUAUUUUUUUAGCUAUUGGAUUGAAUAUUGAAUUUUGUUAUCAAUUAAUCGGUCUUUAUUUUAAUUUCUGUUUUCAUCACUAUCACAGGUUUAGUGGUUUAACCUGGUAAUUCGUUAAACCGGUGGGCUCGGGGAUGGGUUCCAUUUGAAACCCGUUCAGGGUCCGGGGCCGGGGAAGGCCGUAAAAGAAACCAAAUCUUAAUAGCGAUUUUGCUUCGGCCUCCGUAUCCUAUUGGGCUUAGACAUAGGCCCAAAUCUCACUUUGGAACUGCUACACUGCCUCGGAACCAGAGCAAAACCACGAACCUUAUCCUCCAGAAGAAAACAAGUCCCCUUUUUCAUUUCUAUCCUCGCCGAAGAAAUUGCAAACGGCAUCGACGAGCGCGAUGGCAGCUCAGCUGGCCAACAUCAACGGACUCUGCGUUGGGAGAACUUACCCUGCUUCAUCCAUGCCUGCAGGUACCUUCCUUUUUGUGUUCAUUUUUCUCAUUUCGAUUUCAAAUUUUUUUGUUUCUCUUAAGUUGAGGGAACGUGCUACAUUUCUGCUAACUGGGUUUUGGAGACGGAUUCUGGGAUCUCUAAAGGGAUUGAAUUGAAAUAGGAUUUAGUUCGAGGAACAUCCUGAUUGCGAUCAGAAGGGAGCUACGAUUUACAGAAAGACUAGUGUAGUUAUUUGAUGAAAUGCGGUCAAAACUAAUUAAUUUAUGUGAGUAGAUAAUCAUAAUGUGAGGGAAAAGACCCAUCAGCAAUGGAAAUUUAUUGGGCUGUUUUGUUUCAGGGAAACUAAAUGCAACUUCAGUUGGUAAUUUGACUGUAUCCUGGCCGAGCAAACAACGUCAGCAACGUCAAUCACUCCGGGUCAAUGGUCUAUUUGGUGGGAAGAAAGAUGGCGAUGAUGCAUCUUCAAAGGUCGGACUUGUUAAUGCUUCUUCUCUUGUUGAUCAUUGUAUGAAGCCUUUGUGUAUAUAAGCUAUUUUCUUGGAUCUUCAAUCUGUUUCACUUCUUACACAAGUCACGUUUUGAAUUAUAUUGAAAAUGUGAGAUCCCACCGGAUAGUAUGGUGUAUGCCCCUGAAUAGGAGGAGAAACAAACAGUUAGAUAGGUCUUCCCGGUGCUUUGAUAAAGUUCAGUUCUUUAUCCUUAAGUAGGACUUCUUCUUGAGCUGGUUUUGUGUUAUCCUUCUAACAAUAACAACUAUGGUGAUUUUCUCCAGAGUUAACAAUGUUGAUGUUCAUUAAUUUUAGACAGGAAUGCUGGGGAAUAUGCAGAACCUGUAUGAGACGGUGAAGAAGGCACAGAUGGUUGUCCAAGUUGAGGCGGUUCGGGUGCAAAAGGAACUUGCUGCGUAAGAACUACACCUGUUCAGGUUUCUGGUUUUGUUUCGUCAUGCGUGUUACUCAGUUGUGGUCUUUUUGCGUUUCUCUUCUGUUUUUUACAGUGCAGAGUUUGAUGGUUAUUGUGAAGGUGAACUAAUCAAGGUAUGCUAUUUCACCUGCAUCUCUCUAUUCAAGUCUUUUAACGCAUGUUUCUAGCUGUAAGAGUCUUCAUACUGUCAUGUUUUUUUUUUAUCUCUCGUCUUUGGCUUUCCAUUAACUUGUAUUCUCUAAGUUGAGAUAGUUUGUUUGAAAUUUUCUCAUCUUUCCAGUCUAUUAAGCUGAUCGCUGCGGGAUACAAUUAAAUAAUCGUAACUUUCGCUGGAAUGUUACUCGCAGGUGACACUAUCCGGUAACCAACAGCCUGUGCGCACAGAGAUUACCGAGGCUGCCAUGGAAUUAGGCUCAGAGGUGAGUGCUAACCAACCAACUAUGUUUCACUUACUGUUUCUAGUUGCUAGAUGUCCUAAGCGUAUUACUUGACACCUUUUCACGACUGGGAAACUGGAAGUUGUUACUUAUAAUUUAUUAGAAACAAUCAAUGAUCAAAUUGGAAUUUCAGAAAUUGUUUGUUUCUGCUGCAGAAACUCUCACUUCUUGUCACGGAAGCGUACAAGGAUGCGCACCAAAAGAGCGUCCUGGUAAGCAUCUCCAUCCACAUUUCUGCUCAAUUCUUGUACCAUCAAUUGUAACCCCAACUGAAAAGUACUCGUCGGGUGCCUUCCUCAGGCCAUGAAGGAGCGUAUGGGCGACCUUGCCCAAAGCUUAGGAAUGCCUCCAGGUCUUGGCGAGGGUUUGAAGUAAAUAAAGGUGGACGAAUGCUGCUAAGCUCAGUUUUUCUGCAGUGGAACCCUUUAGAGAUUGAAUUGUACCCUGGAUAUAAACAUCUCAACAGUUUCUUCACCUGAAUCAUCAUGUACAUUAAAUCUGAGUAAGUAGUGACUCGAUUAUCUUUUCCCCACUCCCAAUAAACGAGAAAAGUGAUUGCUUCCAGAAAUUUGUGUUGCAAAGGUUCAUCAACAUGGUAUCACAAGUAAAUGCAUUUUGUUUAACCUUGGAAUCAAUGACAAAUGAAUUUGGCAUGAUGCAGGUACUAAACAAAAUCAAUAUUUCUGAAUGAAUGAACCCUGAAUUGCAUUUGCUACCUAGCUAUACCCCAUAACUCUUCUUCUUUGAGUAGUCAUGGGAUAGAAAUAUCUAGCAGGUUUUGUGGAUUGCUCCAAACUAGUUGGAAAAGAUUCACUUGUCUGCUUAUACAUAAAUGAGUGGCAGCUGGUUGAGUUAAAAAUGUCAAGAUCUUGGUAGUUGUUUGCCAGCCAAGAAAGAUGUGAAAAGAAUGAAAGCCCUUCUUGGUUGAAAUAAAGGAACUUCAUGCCCUGCUCCCCUCACUGUUGCAAAUGUCAGCCCUUCAUACUCUUCUGUCCAUCCCCCAACCUAAAACAAUAAAUCAAAUGUUAGGGUACCCAGAAAGAAUCAAACUUUUUCACCCGUUAUGUAAUUUUUUCUGAUUUUGUUCCCACCUGGUUUCCAGAUUUCCAUGGAUACCAUCUGGUUUUGACAGUCAGGUUGAGAUGGCUGAUGGAGAACCUUGUGGCUGUCACUGGAACUACUGAAUCUGUAUCCCCACUGUCAAAACCAUACAAAAAAAAUCACAUUUUGUUCAAAAUAUAACUCAAGUACAUGGAAGUGGCCAUUCAAGUAUAGCAGAUUACCCACCAUACAAACAAAGUGGAUUUUUUUACAGGAAAAGAAAAGCACUGUUGUGAAAAUUUCCCAACCGACAGUCUUAAUGCCACAGUAAAAUAGAAGAACAAGUUGACUGAUAAUCUCUGUCGCAAUAUUUGCACAGGAACUUCAUAAUGAUGGUGUGAUGGCUUCACAUUUCAAACAAGAAGUUGGCUAAUUAGGUGAAGUGAAGGGUACUGACGAAUCAAGCCGUUCAUGAGCAGUUCGGUGUUCGGUUUGGAAAAUGGUCAUCGAACCUUAGCUCGAUCUUAAACGAUCCAGAUUGCGAGCCGGCUCGAUAAUAAACCAACGGAGCUCGAUCUGGCCCUGACUCGGCUCGGCAGGCUCACGUGCCAGCUCGGCUCGAAUACUAGUUCAAUGAAGGCUUUGGCUCGACUACCAACUCAACUGAGGCUCAUUUGUUGGCUUGAUUACUGUAAUUUGUAAAUUGGUUUUAUACAUUUUAAUGGUUCGAAUUUCUUUAUUUUAUUUUUAAAAACAAGAAUACAAUGAUGAAUUAUGUUAUCUUGAUGAUUUAUUACUUAUUUAGAGUUAUCUCAAUGAUUAAUUAUUUAUUUGGACUAUAUGAGUCGUGCCCAUUUUAGAAUAAUAUUUUUUUUAUAAGGUAAUCCGAGUUUAGCUGGAAAUUUAACUUGAUUGUUAAGAAUCGUAAAUGAGCCGAGCCGUGCACGAGCUUGUUAAGGCUUAAACGUGUCAAGCUCGAAGCAAACCAACCCGAGCUCGAGCUAAAAAUUAUUUUGCGGAGUCGAGCCCGAGCUCGAUUAUACAAGCUAGAGCUGCUAUUUCAAACAAAUGAGCCAAGCUCGAGCAAGGCAAAAUUCAGCUUGAUUCGGUUCAUCAACCGCUCCCAUAAAGUUAACCAAUUGAUGUUUACUGGUGAAAAAAUCAAGUGUAAAGGCUGGGAAUAACGAGGAUUAGAUAUACCUGAAAACCCAGAUCCUCAAACCAGCAGCAAUCAGCUCCUUGUAUGUAGGCAACAUUGAUGCAUCUGAGUCCUUCCAAUACUUAAUCAGCAUAUCACUGCAUCCAAUUCAUAACUUCUUUUCUUCAUCCUCAUAUUUCUAUAAAAUCUCUAUUUUAUCAUCAAACUUGAAUUCUUUACCAUUCUGGUCCAACUACAGAACUGGAAAAUAAAAUCGUGUACCUGCAAGCAGUCCAUUUGUAUGGGAUCAUCCCAGUCACAUUAGCGUGCAUAGCCCUCUGAACAUCCUGCCGAUUGUAAUACUUCUCGGCAUAUCUCUCUGUACACGGAUCAUAGCCUGAAAUCGGCCUAUGCAGUACCGUAUUCUUCAUCCUGAGAAACCUCGUCCUUGUGCCGUUCUCGCCGCUCUUGGGAUGCAAACAAGACGGCGUGUAAAUGCUGUACUGAUCAAUGGCGCCAAACUCCCUGUUCAUGGCGUAGCUCACUGCAUUGUCGCAUUUUGUCGACGUUUUAUCCUCCCCGAAAUCGCAAUGGUUGAGGAUCGAUCUGUAAGAUCGAUCCGAGAUCAUGGAGUGACUCCACCAAUAUGUCACGGUGCCAAUCCCGUCGUAGUAAUUAUCCGUCACAGCAUUCCCUAACUGUCAAAAUUUGUUAUUAUAACGAGUUUUGAAAAUUUAGCACCAACAUUGACCAAUAUAACAUAAAAGUAAAAUUUCUUGAGAAUCAUUAGUUACCAUGAUUCCUUUGAGGUUGAUGAUGGGAUUGGAGUGUGCUUUGUUGUAGUCGUGGAUUCUCUUAGCUAGCUGGGGUACAUAAUGUCCUAGCAGGAUUUGAAUUUGAGAGGAAAUUUAGUGGUUAAUCGUGUGAAUGAAUAAAUUAUUCAUUCAGAAUCAUUUCCUAACAAUUUGAGUUAUUGGGAUAUAAGGGUUCUUGACAUGGUAUCGGAGCCUUACAUGAGCAAGAGGUUUUCGUUCCGAAUCCCGUUAGUCCUCAAUUCGUGCACAUGACUUAUUGAAAUUGUGCAAACCUCAGCUCUUAUGAGAGCUUUCGUUAGAGAGGGCGUGUUAGUGAGUAACGUAAAUAUCAAUCAGAAUCCUCUCCCAAUAACUCGAGUUAUUGUGAUUACGGUUCUUGACCACUGGGAAUGAAAUGUUGGUUGCAAUUGAAUUGAGUAUAUAUAUACCAGCAUAACUUUCCCCAGCAAUGUAGAAGUCUCUGAAUUUGUACUGUGGGAAUCUUGACAUCCAUUUAAGGAGGAAGAUCAAAGCAUCCUGAGCUGUUAAGAAAAAUCCAAUUACAAGUUUUAGUUUGGUAAAAAAGAAUAAUAGUGAGGUCAUGGGAAUAUAUGUAGACGACAUACAUGUCCUUGCAUCUCCAGAAUCUUUGAGGUUAGAGGUUGUGUUUGUGUAGGAAAAUCCAACUCCAGCAGGUGAUUCCAGGAACAGAAUAUUUGCUUCUGUAAGCACAAAUAUUUUGUUCAGAAAUAGGUUUUGUGGAUGAUGUUGACACCAAAGUUUGAAAAUUACCUCUGUUCCAGGAAUAUUUGUUGAGAAAGAGGGUAGAUGUAGUUUUGUUAAUCCUGAAGGGACCUAUCUCUUCUGAUGCUCCAUAUGCCACAGAUGAACACCCUGGUCCUGCAAUUUUUCAUUCAAACUUUUCAAAUAAGAACUGGUAAGAACUGAUGGUAAAAAAAGAUCGUUACUCCUAAUAGCUCUGCAUGUCAGUCGAUUGGGUCGACUAUUAUCCUUUUGAAGUAACAUAAUCAUAAUUUUCGAUUAACAUAAUUUUCUACCCAUACCUAACCGUUAAAUAUAAAAUUUACGGUUUAAAUAACCUAAUGAACCAGUUAGACUUUUUAUUAUAUAAAAGGUUCGUAGCAUACAAAUCCAAAUAAAGUUACAAGAUCCGGAAAAAAAACCCUUCCCCACGUCACAAAAACCAAACAUUCUUGAACACUAAACAAUCGUCCCCAAAACUUACUCACACUUAACAAUUGACAUUUGAGAUUAGGCACAGCUUCUGAUAUAGUUUGUCAAUUUGUAAUCCAAACCCAAUUAUGCUUAGUCAGUAACCGUUAAAUACGGGUUGUGUUGUUUUGAUUAAUACGGUUGGAUCGAUUAUUAAUUUAUUUUGUAAAGGUGUUACAACCACUCGAUUACAACUUGUUUAAUAUGGAGCUAUUAGACUAAAAACUUCACAGCCAAUACUAGUAUUCAUGCCGGACCCCUGAGCCUAAUGAUUGAUUUGGUUGCCUUUUAGGGUUUGUUUAUAGUAAUGAUGAUUAGAUUUGGGGAUGUGGGGUUAUGGUUCCUCCAUUUCUGGGUCAUGAAACAAUAUCAUUAUCCCUUUUAUACCCCAUUCUGCACUGUUUGUUUGUUGCUGCUGCUACUGCUAUGCGCGUGCUUCAAAUUCAAACAGAAGAACCAAAGUGAACAGUAGGAGUGCUUCCAUCCACAAUUUCUAUAUAUAUGAUUGCAACGACAACUAACCUUUGAAGGUCAACUUGAAAUACAAGACCCACCACCAUACGAAGGUGAAAAAGAAGAUCCGAUAAAAAGUUUAAAAGAUUUGCAGAUGAACCAAUACAAAGGACAACAGACAGCAAAAGUUUUUUCCUUUUUGGUGGGACAAAAUGGAAAAGUUCAAACACUUUUGUGACACAAUUUUUAUUAUCAUCUUGUUCAUCGUCGUCGUCAUCAUCAUCAUGGGUCAAGAAGAAAGGAACAAUGAAACAGAGAGAUCACGAGAGGUGUUAAGUAUUAUACUGUAACUAGUUGUUUGUACACAUGUGAAAGCUUCUUUUGUUUUCUUCUUCAUCACCCUUCUUUUGUUUUCUUCCCAUCCCACUCCCCCAAAAUUCUGAUAAUGACAUCUCAGGCAUUAUUUUGUGUGUCCUACCUUCUUUUUAUUAGGCCCUCAUCCACCACAGAGGCUGAACCAAGUCCGAAUGUAUAAUCCAAUCCAUUUUUUAAUCUUAUUUGGGUCGAAAGAACUCGUUUGACAUAUAAAAUAAAGUAUGUGAUAUUCUAAAUCAAAUUAUUUAAAAUAAUUCAUUUUGGUCCAAAACACCAUAUAUUGUAAAAUAACUCCUCAUAAAUUAACCUAUCUUAAGAAACUGCAAAAGGCAUUUACUAUUUGGUGAAAAACUAUAGUAAUGAUGAAUGAAGUACACAAAUGCAUUGUUUUUAAUUGAACUUUUGGUUGGUGAGCAACGUUAAUUAUUAAUUGCAGUCGACAUCCAAAAAGAAAAUAAAAGUAGUAGCGAUUCCCCAUACAAAUUAAACCCGGAUGACCUUCAUCACAAUUAUUAUUUUCCUGGUCAAACUGAAGGAAACUGGAUUUUCAAGCAAAGCAAUAAAUUUACUACUUUAUGGACCUGGUUUUNNNNNNNNNNNNNNNNNNNNNNNNNNNNNNNNNNNNNNNNNNNNNNNNNNNNNNNNNNNNNNNNNNNNNNNNNNNNNNNNNNNNNNNNNNNNNNNNNNNNNNNNNNNNNNNNNNAUAUAAAUCUGAUUGAACUUCGUCAAUGACCGAGGGAUUUUAAUAUAAAACUGAAACUAGUAUGAUUGUCGACAUAAAACUCUUGAUCAAUACAAGAUAAAAUAUAGAAAAUAAAUAUUAUAUUGAUGUCCAUUUUGUAGAGUAUAUUGGAUUCAAACCCAAAACUUUUGAAUUAUCAAACACAUAUCUAGAGCAACUCCACUGGACGUGAUGAUAUAACUAAAAGGAAGUGCUGAUAUAACUGUUUACCCUUGAACAUUUAUCAAACACUAUAACCCCUUGAACAAAACAUAAUAAUGAGUACUAAGAUUUGGAGAGUAGAAUAACUAAUUAACUAGGAUGAUGUAAUAAUAGAAGGAAAUGCCACCCUAAAUUUGGAAUAUGGAAGCAAUCAUCAAACUAGAAAUGACAAGUGAACAGUAUAAUAUAAUAGUGUAAGGAUAGACGUUUUGUGGCCAUGAAUGAUGAUAAAUUAAAGAAGUGAGUGAGUGACCUCCAUUGAGCCAGAGGAGUAGUGGCUUGGGAUUUGAAGAAGGUGGAGCUUCGGUGAGCCAGUAGAACAAUGCACGCCCGUGUUCUUCGUUCACCGUGACGUAGCCGGAGAAUUGUGAGAAUGUCACCGCAGGCUGACCGGGAAGGGAGGAGAUUCUGUCAUGUUCCUGCUCUCUCGUCGUUAGCCCGACGGCGGCAGAGUUAGAAGCAGAGAUGAGGAGGAAGAACAAGGAAAAGGAAAUUAGGACAAGAUUGUUAUUAUGAUUGUAGUUGUAGCAAUAAUAGUAGUGACGACGACAAUGGCUGCUUGUUGAAACAGCCAUUGUUUUUAUUUUUGGUUUCUGUAGCUCUAGCUAGCUGCUAGUACUUGAAGGGAGAGAAACAGAGGGGCCUGGCCUGGGAAUUGGGAUAAGUAAUUAUGUAUUGUGGUGUGUUUAUAUAGAGACUAGAGUGUUUGUGGAACAGGUUUCUCAUUGGCUAUUCAAUCCCGGCCGUAUGGAUUGGGUUGACUCUGGUCUAUGAUAUGAUGUGGUUAUAUUAAUAGAUCGAAAAGUGAUAUAAAAACGUAAUUUUUAUAAUAGAAAAUAUUUAAAUAUUGAUAAACAAUAAUAUAUAUAAAAUAGUAAUUGGAUGUUGAUUAAGUUCAAGAUUAAAAAAUACUCUUGGGCAGCUAUUGAAAGAAAAAAAUGCAUAGGGUUUUUAAUCACGGAUUGGAGGUUGAAGAAAGUUUUGGUCGAUUUAAGAAAGGGUGGGUGUGGUUGUUUUUGGAGUUUUGCUCGAUUUGAUUUCAUAGUUUCAACUAGAGUUCGUGACUGUUUGGGUUUUGAUGACGUGGACGAUACCAUGUCAUCAAAGUUAACGGGCGUUUAGACAGAAUCAUCCCUGGAGACUCUUUUGUUUCAUCCGAUUAUGAAAGGGACGGAUACGUUACUUCUAAUACAUAGGGGACGUUUUUGUACAUAAUUGAUACGUAAGGAACCAAAAUGAGCCAUUAACCUUUAAAGUUCACUUAUUACUAAAAUCAUCAAAAUCUACCAAUAAAAUAAAUGGAGUGAUAACCACAUCUCCAUCCCAAAAUUUUAGCAAUGGUUAAAAUAGGGUGGAGGAUGAGGUGGAACUCUUUUAAUAAUUGUUAAGGAAAUAUAUAUAAUUGUUAACUUAGAAAUUUUAUAAAAAUUGCUACAUAAAUAAUUUAAUUAACAAUGCCACAUAAGCAUCAUAAGCAUAUGGAUAAAUUUCCUAAGCCAAGUUUUGACGUAAGAUUCAUUUUGUAUGGAUAAAUUAAUUAAAACAAAAACUUUCAAAGNNNNNNNNNNNNNNNNNNNNNNNNNNNNNNNNNNNNNNNNNNNNNNNNNNNNNNNNNNNNNNNNNNNNNNNNNNNNNNNNNNNNNNNNNNNNNNNNNNNNNNNNNNNNNNNNNNNNNNNNNNNNNNNNNNNNNNNNNNNNNNNNNNNNNNNNNNNNNNNNNNNNNNNNAAACAAAUGUGAAAAACUUGAACAGUUAUACUAUAAUAGAAGAACGGAAGUUGUAAAUACAUGUAUCUAUAUGUGUAUUAUACGAAUGGUAAACCGUUUUUUUUCUAACUAAGACUUAAGAGUAAAGUUGGUGGGCAGGUUGGGAAAAAGUGGACCUGCGAAACGUCUGAUCUAAAAUAUCAGAGUGAGAGGAACCAGCCAGAAGACACAUAACAUUAAUGCCAUGCUUCAUAUAACCAUUAACCACCCAACUACUCCUCUCUUAUCCCCUUUUCAUGUACUUCUGUGUACAGCCUGGUAAAACCUCUCCUUUUUUUUUAUUCUCAAUACGCGUCUUUUGCUUUUUAAUUUAAAUCUUUCAUUUCUGAUAAAAUUGGAACGAUACAUAUUUUUUUUUAUAUUUUCUAACUCUAACAUUGGGGUACAUAAUUAGGAAACAUGUAAUUAUGACGAACCCCUAAAAAAUUACACAUAUUUUUAGAAGUUCUGAUAUACUAUCCACAUAUCACAUGGAAUGGAGAAAUAGUUGGUGUUGGCCUUGGAUCAUUUGGGUCCGAAUCUAAUCAUCUGGUCCAACACUUUAAAAAAAAUUUGUUGGUAAGAUAAAUGUGACAGUGAGUUUAGAGGUGAUGUGAAAGUGUUAGAUAUAAGACCAAAAUGAAUAUUCUUAGUAUUUAUAACGAGGGGAAUAUAUAACCCCUUUGUUUUGUGUUCGCCCUACCAAUGUUGCAUGCCUCCUCUUGAUAGUGUUGUCGAAGGUUGGAGUCACAACGUUUAGGCGGUUAGAUUAGCCUGUGUCCUUUGAGCCAUCAGAUAAAGGUGGUUCGUUAAAAUGAUGCCAUAUAAGCCCUAGAAAAUAAUGACCUAAUUAGGGCGAGUAAAAGUCACCGACUGUUAGACUUGAAAGACCUAUAUAUGAAAUGCGGCCCAUUUGACCUAUGGGCAGUCAACAAUCACCUUAAUGAGUGUUAGAGUUGUUGACUAGAGAUUAACAAUUGACUUUUUAUUAGGGAUAAAGCUAGAGAAUUUAUUAGGGAGCAUAAUGUCUUUUUUGUUCACAACAUUGUAUCAUUGUAUUCAUUAUGAAAGAAUAGCAACGUGAUAUGUAUAGGAAGUCUUAUCGAAGGUGUAGUACUCACCAACGAGGUUAGCAUGGAUCGCGGGUUUUUGCAAUAGUAAAUAUCUUAAUCCUUUUUCUCCAACAAGCGGACAAUCUAAUAAGGAUUCACCAUAACAAUAAAAAAUGAAGACACUAACAAUCACCAACAAGACAAACACAAACUGAAAACAAACAAAAAGUUGAAAUUAAAAAAAAAAUCUAACAAACUUAAAUUCGAUUAACAACAUUCCUAUUGUGUUGGAAGUUUGGAGUCAAGAUGACAAAUGCAAAUUCAUUAAGUGUUUUAAGUUUGAACUAUGUCGUAUGAGUUAUUUUACUUAUUGUCGAGUCAGUGUCAGUUUAGUCCUUAGUUUGAAAGAGUAAGUGCUUAUUUAGAUAGCUGCAGUAGUUUAUCGUGGCAGCUAUAUCUCGGGAGUCAAUGGGUUAGAGCUGUUAGUGGGAGCCGCGAUUACUGGCUUGAGAGUUGUUCUUAUGGUUUCUAACGUUACAAUGAAUCAAAUCGUCAGUUUGCCCUUCCUUUAAGCUUUACAAUUUGAACAGUUAAGGAAGACUACGAUUUUAGUCGUUCCAACUUACAGGUUCAGAAAAUCAGACUGGUCGCUCCUAACUAAUCAGCUGGUGAUGAAGGGUUUAUGUCAUGGUCGUGCUUCUUGGAAAGGGGUAGGGAUGUAACAACGACUGUGAUAAGCGGCAUAGCAGUAGCAUCGAUGAUGACAUUGACAGUGAUGGAGACGUUGGUGAUGAUGGCAACGUUGGCGGCUAUGGAUUGUGGUGUGGGGUGGGGAUAGGUUGCCGCCAUGAUAUUGGUGGUGAAGUUGGUGGUGAUGAAGGUUGUCUUGUUGAUGUUGGAAGCGAAAGAGUGUAGGACGGCCACGGUGGGUGUGGUGAAUACGGGUGGCGGUUAGGGUUUUGGAGAGGGAGAAUGGUUCUCUCCUACAAAAGGUAACAAUGCAAUUAUUCUUUUACGAGUGGUAAUAAGAUAAUUAUUCUUCUACGAGAGGCAAUAAAGAUCCAAGUUGAAAUCGAAAAACAAAAAAAAUCGAAUAAGUAAAAUCAGCUACGGGGAGGAGUGAGGAUAAUGUUAAUCAGAAGCAGAGUGGUGCUAAUACCGUACGUACGUGCUGCUAAGAUAUUGAUAUCGAAAGAUCAAACCGACACUAAAUAAGAUUCGAGCACACCAUGUUUGAAUAGUUAAUGAGAAGUGUCAAUUAAUAAGGAGUUGGUCCAUAAAAUGUAUGGUCUAGUCUAAAGCAACCGAUAAGACAGUUGAUGAUCCCUCAAAUAACAAUCAACCAACCAACCUAAUGCUUCCACACGUACGUGUUCCACUGCUUUAUCGUCAAUCAUCAACAAUCUCACUAAAUAAUUCUACUUAACGGCGUUCGAAAAUUCUUCAAAUACAUUAUUUUCCGGCGAGGAAAAUUUGGUUUACUGGAAUUCGAUGCAUUUUGGUUUGUUUCGGCAAAAAUCACUAAGCAUAGUUUAAACCUCUUUAAACACUGUUUACAUUGUUUGAAAACCAUCGACACCAUGAUCGUAGCUAUGUCCAUGAAGUGAGAGGUAACUCUCAUGGCAGUUGCUUGUUGGAAAUAUGCCCUUUGGGUUUGACCUUGGUAUAAUGGCAGCACCAUGGACUUGACCUUAGUGUGAUGCCAGAGUUGAGAUGGAUACGUGAGCUCACGGGAAACCUCAUUUUAUCUUGGAACAAGCUGAAACUAGCUGGCAUCAGUUCCUCUAUGAGCUAGAUGAUGCUAGAGACUGACAGUGAACCUCAUCCAGCUCAUCCAGCUCAACCUUGAGCUGGAUGAUAGUGUCACUAGCUGCGAUGCUGAGCUGAGCUACAAUGAUGGUAGGGAGCUAUAUGGUUGCGGUGGUUACUCCUUGUCCCAGGACGAAUGGGUACACACCUCUUCAUAAAUUUCAAACUCAUUUCUGAGUUUUUUUUCCUCCAACCUUGUAGGACUUCAAGUUAGUUACCUUCAAGUCUAUCCAUGAGGAUAAUAGCACCUCUUGGUACAUGGACUCUUGCCCCUUCAGUUCUGGACCCCUUUGCCUAUAUAAAGAAGGUUGUAGUGUGGGAUAACACACACAGAAAAACCAUCUAUCCUAGUCUAUAAUUCUAUGUGACUCUAGUAUCUAAAACCUAAGAAUUUGAGUGGAGACGGUAUUAUCCUCGGAAGGGAUUUCCUGAUACCCAAGGCUUGUAGGGUGGAAAUACUCUUUUCGGAAAGUGGUACCCAUGAUUCUAUCCUGAUCCUAGAUCUCAUCACCUAUCAAAACUCGAAAUAUUGCUACUUGGAACCUCCUAAGCUAACAUUGCUUUCAAUGACAGUAACCACCCAUUCCGGGCUAUAAAUACAAAAAGCCACCAACAGAGAAAUCAACAGACGAAAUUUCACCAAGCAGACACUUUGCCCAAAUUUAUCUUCCCAUAGACGUAGAUGUAGUUUUUAAUUCGGAGCUCUCUUAAAACCUCCAUAGAAUUAGCAGUAUAUAGCGUAGCGAUCGUAGACAUCAGAUACCCUCAUUCGAACUUUUUUUGAAAAGGUAUGGACCAUGUAAGUAAUCCAUUGUGAAGAAAUCAAGAGCGCAUUUGUUAGUUUAAACAUAAAAAUUGUCCAUCCGAAAACACAUAGGAUAGUUGGUACAUGAAAGUCAAUCUUCAGGUUGAUUGAGUAGUGGUCGUCGCCUAAUCAUAUAAGGAUGAUAUUGGCCAUCUUCGACACUUAGCAAAUAAUUUGAAGUCUCUUCUUCAUCGAGAUUGGGAUGUCUAAAUACUCACUCACAUUUUUAAAAAAGAUAAUUAAAUUGCUGAUUUCCUUUUUAUCUUGAGCAUUCUCUUGUUCUAGAUUAAUAAUAUUGGAUGCGGCUCUCUAUAAAAAAAACCCUCAUAUACUCUUCCUUCAAACAAAUUCUACUCAUAAUUAUUCAUUACUUAUUUACUUGCAGAUAAACACAACCCUUGAUCGCUGAGUUAAACUGAAAGAGCACCACUCCAUUCCCAAAGACAUUGAUGGUUAUCCAAUCAAUUUUGGUUUGACUCAUUAAUUUCAGGGUUCGCCUUAAUUUUAUUCAAUAAAUAAAUUCUAACCGUCAGAUGUAAUUCCAUAAAUAAAUAUCGAUAACCCGUUCAAAAAUAUAUCUUUCUCCAGAAAAUUCUUCCUUAUUACUGUACAACAAACUCUUACUAAAACAUACACUUUUUACUGAGGUUUCAUACAAGAAUCUAGCCCGAGAUGGAAAGAUAAAAAGCACUCUUAAUUUUAUUUAAUUAGGUCAAAUAGCCUUGAAUCAGAGCCGAUUUAAUUAGCUUACCUUGCAUAGCAAGACACAUAAUGUACAUUCAUGGAGUUUUCACAAACGGUGAAGAAAAUUAAAACGCAGAAUUAUUAUUAAUUUAUUAUCUGCUGUAACUUGAAAAGAUAAGUGUUAAAGCCAAAGGGAGAGAUUUUCUGCACCCUAUUAAAAACAAGGGAAAGUAAUUUAAUGAUAAUACACACGUACACAGUUAAUUUUUAAUUCACUGUCACUUCCCAACACAAACACAACUUCCUAAAAUAUUACUUUCGUAUUCCCACCCACGCCUAUAUAUAAACACAGCCCAUUAGUAAAUUGACAUACAAACAAUCGAGCUAACAAAGAAAGAAAGCAAAAAAGAUAUCAAAAUGGCUCGUUUGAUCUCCAUACUCUGUCUCGUUUCCCUUGUCAUCGCCGUUUCUGAAGCAAGGGAGAUCGUCGUCGGAGGUAGAGAGAGCAAGACCUUCUGGAGAGUUCCCGGCGGUAAUCUUACAAAUCUCGACUAUUGGGCUGAACAACUCAGGUUCUCUCCCGGAGAUGUUCUUGGUACAUUGCUCAUCAUACUACUCUCGUUUUCAUCACUUCAUUUCAUAUCAUUUUUUUAUUCUACUUGAAUUCCAUGCUACCAUUGAUUUUUGUGACUAUUGUUUCAUUCUUGAGGCAUAUUCCCGUACAGGUAGGUGGCAAUUAACAGAAUUACAAGUUUUUGACGAGUUUGUAAAGUUUACAUUGAUUUUGAGGUCUAAAUCGUAAAUUGCCUAAAAUUGUAAUACAAUCCUUUUGAUGAUUGAAUAAAUAGUAUGGUAUUUGGAGGCAAAAGAGGGAUCAGUGCUUCAAGUGAGCAAAGAAGCGUAUGAAAGCUGCGACAAGACGAAUCCGAUCAAAGAACUGAAAGACGGCGUUGAAAAGGUGAGUUUGGAACGGUCGGGACCUUUUUACUUCAUCAGUGGGAAGGAACCUGACUGCAAGAAAGGGAUGAAGCUUGAAGUGGUCGUUCUAGCAGAUCAUCAUCAGCAGCAGCAGCGUCACUUACCUCCCUCUCCUGCUCCCUCGCCGUAUUCUUCGAGUGCGUCGAAGGUCCUGAACUACCGAUGUGCCACUGUUGUUGUAGCUGCUGCUGCUGCAAUGUUGAUUUGAUGAUCUUUUGUGGUUUGGACUUUGGAGAUUGAGCCUUCAUGUCAUUUUAUGUUUUUGAUUGUUAGUGUCUACGGCCUUUUGGAUUUAAAUUUAGUCUUGCUAUUUCAUUCUGGUUUGAUAGUUUUGCAAUUAAUUUUGAAUUGGUAUUGCAGUUAUUCUGCAAUCUUGUGCCCACUAAACUGCAGGCCAUGGAAAGCAUGUGAAUGAGAACUCGUCAUUGUAUGAUCAAGCUUGGUCCUUAAAAUGUGUUGACACCUCAUCCUCCACCGUGUGAUGGACUCUAACGAACGGCUCAAAUGCGCAGAAGCCCAUUCACGCGGAUCCCAAUCUCCGACCGUUCGUUUGAGUGCAAUCCAACGAUUCAAAUUGUCCCUUUAGCAUUUCUGCGGAUCCUAAUAAAGAAACAAUAGAUAAAUAAGAAUCACGUGGAUCGCCAUUCUAUUUCGUCGAUUCAAUGUUAAUCAACGGUCCAGAUCAUUACCCCUUCCACUUCAGAACUGUCCUAUAAAUUUUGCAGCCUUUGGGCUCCGACAUUCACCAAUUCAAUUCAAAUCUUCCAUCCGAAGCUCUCGUCAAUUUCUUAUAUCUUCUCUUAAAAAUGUCAGGCAGAGGCAAGGGAGGCAAAGGAUUGGGAAAGGGAGGAGCAAAGAGGCACAGGAAGGUCCUUCGCGAUAACAUUCAGGGCAUCACUAAGCCGGCCAUACGACGUCUAGCUCGCCGUGGCGGUGUGAAGCGUAUUAGCGGCCUCAUCUACGAGGAAACCAGAGGUGUUCUCAAGAUCUUUUUGGAGAACGUGAUCCGUGACGCCGUCACCUACACCGAGCACGCUCGCCGGAAGACCGUCACAGCUAUGGACGUCGUCUAUGCUCUCAAGAGGCAAGGCAGGACACUGUAUGGUUUCGGUGGUUAGAUUAGGGUUUCUUUUUUCUUGUAACUUUUUGUUGCAUUGUGAUGUUCGAGAAAAUCUGACCUACUGGAACCUCCAAUUGGGGAUAGAGAGAGAUGGAUUUGGGGUUUCGGUAGGAUGAUUGUGAGUUUUCCCUUUGGAGCUGUGUUUAAUAUCAAUCAAUUGGAAUUACAGAAACCUAUGGAUUGUCAGCUCAAACCUUGCCUUGUUUUUGUUGUUCUUAUUGCAGUGAGGUUGGCCGUAUUAGAGUUAAAAUUUUCUUGUUCUUUGGGCGACCAACGAUGGGAGAGAACCCUAAGGGUUAGAAACAUAGAAAAGCUUACAAGAAAAGAAAUACGUCCCUUGUUAAACUACCAAAAACAAAAACAGCUUACAUGAUUAACUGUUACCUAUUCGCCCCACUUAGCUUUCGAGAAGCGAGCAAGUUCGUAAAUUAUUCCUUUCUAUUCCUCCUAAUCCAAGAUACCUUCUUAGAAACUAAGAAGGCAUACUACAAAAGAUCUGUCUGACAGUCAGCAAUCGUGACACCAAAUUCAGAGAUGUCUAGGUGAAGCCCCGCUAUGGCAACGGAUUGAAGAAUGCGGUGAUCACUUUUUAUUCUGGAGAUUAUCUUUGGAGUAUGCAGUGAUCAAUUUUUCUUCGGGGUACCUUUUUAGGUGAGGUUUUCAGAGCAGAAAUUGAACUCAAUUUCAGAUGCUGGUCUAAUUCCAACUAAUUUCGGCUCGCCAAGUUUAAUUCAAACCAAUUUCAAUGCCAGUUCAGGCGAAAAUUAAACCAAAAAACGCAGAAAAUGACACCUACCACCUUGAUAUUAAAUUCUGGUUCCCUAACAUAAAAGAUGGUGUUUAGGAACUGGAGUUUAAGAUUCAGAGACUAAAAAGAAGACUUGGAUAGCACUACCGUCCAUGACAAAAAUGUGGAUUUAUGGUAAUGUUAAACUGUUCUAAGUGCCUGCGUACGUGCUAUCCAACAUUAGAAUCAAAAGCUUCAACGGCACAAGAGAGAAAAAAACCCACAGUAGAGGUGCGGCACUACAAAGCCACAAGAUGUCCAUUACGAAUGUGAAAUGGCAUCCCAAUCAUCUACGUGACAUCUUCAUCUUGGGCAUUGCUCUUUUGGUCUGACGAGCACGAUCUUUCUCUUGUUUUCUGCGGAUGGCCUCUGCGCUUAGUUUCGAUUCAGCUUCCUCCUUCCUCUCCGCCUUCUUUCUCAACAACGCUUCCUGUCUUGCAUUCUGAAGUUCUUUGAAUGCUUCUUGUGCAGCUUUGUUUCUCGCUGCCUCCGUUUUAGACCGUGCCUGCAUUACCCCCACAUUCAGGAACCAACAAUAUUAACACACACGCGUAUCCAUAGUCAUAGCGCAACCUUGUGAAUUGACGGAUAGCUUACCUGCGGACUCAACUUGUAUCGGCCAAUCAGAUCGAUGUAGUAAGGUACCAAAGCCACCAAUCUGGUCAUAUCCGCCAUAUUGCUAGCAUCGGGCAGAGCAAACUUGAACAACAGCAUUUUCUUGUGUGCACCAGGGUGUUGGUCUGAGAAAUGCAUCGAGAUGAAACCCUUUCCAAACUUUCCAAAAGCUUUUUCUCCGAAUACCUGCAAAUUGAAAAUUCAAUCAGAAAACCAAUCAACAUGGUUGUACUAUCGAAACCACCAAAAAUAAAUUUCUAAUGCCGUACAGUCUAUCACCUAGCUGUUAGAUGAUCUAGACGUAGGACACAUUAUAUCUGUUGUUAAUUCAAGAUGCUAGGAUUCAAGGGAUUUUCUUUUACUUGAACAAUGUUCAAUGUAUUUCCUAGAUCAUCUAACGCAGACAGAUCCAAAGAUCUGCAGAGAGGAUUCAGUUCCCCUCAAUCAGGAAGUAGCAUAUACCUUCCAGGAUGCAUUUAUACCUUUCCUUCGUUUCUUUUGAGUUUCAAAUACUAAUAUUUUACAUACUUUUGAACUCCUUAACAAGCUAACCAAUACUCGUAAAACUGAUGAAUCCACAAGAAAACCAAAAGAGAAACACUAUAAUUUUGACAGCCAUUCAAUUAGAAAGCAGAAAGAAGGGGCUGCGAAAAUAUCUAUGAUUUCUAUGAACUAUGAUGUGAUGAAGGGACAUAUCGCGAAAAAGAAAGCCAAAUUGAAUGAGUCCUAAAACAACUUCAUCCAUGUUACUAUGUUAGGAACAUCAAUUUGAUUGGAAUUGACUUUCCACUUACAAACAAAACCCAGGGGCAAAGAUGGGUUGGUGUGGAAGGCGAAUUAAGAAAGAAAGCAGUAGCGAUUUACUAAAUUAGUAUCUAUGAAAAACAAUACCACAUAUAUACCACCACUAGGCAUGGAACUACAUAGUACAUAGCGCACCAGCAAGUGAGCAGGAGUUGAAUCCACUACCAUGAAUCCUACAGGAAAAGAAGUUCACCACUACAUAACUAAACUUACACCCUCAUAUACCAGACAAAAAAUGGAGCAAGAAUGAUGCACAUUAGGUCAUACAUGACCACCAACUAUAUCUGGAUAAAGCCAAAUCCUAAUAUACUGUACCUAAUCAAGGAAACCAGAAGAAGCACGACAGUAAGUUAAGUAUAUAAGCCAACCUGUUCAAGGACAGCAUCAGUGAUCAAGUCCCCAGCAACCUCCUUAGAUUCAGAAACAACUCCGAGAUCCUCAAUGACCCAUUUCUUCACAUGGGCCUGAUGGGGCAGAAGGCCAGCAAACCUCUGCAAAUCCCUAACCUCCUUCUGCAUAGCUUUGGCAGCUUUCUUCUUGGCCAUUGCGAAAAUCACUUGGUCCAUGGCAUUGUCAUUCAUAUAAACUUGGAAAGUGAUCUCAUCCUUACAGGGAACCACCAUAUUGUACACCUUGGCAAUCAAAUCUCUCGCUUCCCGGUGAAGUAGUUAAUAACGAACAUAAUCAAGAACGAGACGCACACAAUCUCCACGGUGAAUGAUUGCUUCCUCUUGGGAAGACCCUCGCCAGCCUCCUUCGAAUUCGGAUCUGAUGUUUUACUUCCUUCAGCAGUUGAGGGAGUGACUGGAGUAUUAUCAACAUCUGGUUUUUCAGGCUGAGUUGGGAGACCUUCGAACUCGUCUUCGUCCCAGUAAUCCAAGCUGGAAGUUUUAGUAGAUGGAGAAUCGGGUUUGGAUUUGGAAACAUCAGAUUCAGUAGAAGCAGGUUUGGAAUUGGGGUGAUCGGAAGCUGAGGAAGGAUUGGGAUCUGAGGUGGAUAGGGAUUCGGUCUGGGUCAAAGGGAGAUCGUUGAGCUCGAAAGAGGAAGGAUCGAGAGGCUCCUCGAUGGCAUCGUCAUCAUCGGCGUCGAAGCCUUCAAAUUGGGAAUCGGCGACAGCGGGGGAGGGAGAUUGAAGGAGGAGGAGGAAGGAGACGAGGGAUAGCAGGGAGAGGAAAGCGAGGAGGGAGAUAGGUCUGACCAUGGCGGUGGAUCAGAUCGAGUCGGGAGGAAGAGAGAAGCAAUUGGAGAAGUAGUGUUGUAGAGAGAGGAAAACAGUGUUGUUAAGUUGGGAUGAAAGACGGAAUCCUAGCUGGCUUUGCCUAGUAGUGGUAGUGGUAGUGGUAGUGGUAGCAGAGAGAGAUAAAUCUGGCCAAUUUCGAAUUUGAAGUGAGAGAAAUUAUUUUUGGAUCGAAUCUGACGGUUGAAACCAAAUCUUAAUAUCGAUUUUGCUUCGGCCUCCGUAUCCUAUUGGGCUUAGACAUAGGCCGAAUCUCACUUUGGAACUGCUACGCUGCCUCGGAACCAGAGCAAAACCACGAACCUUAUCCUCCAGAAGAAAACAAGUCCCCUUCGUCAUUUCUAUCCUCGCCGAAGAAAUUGCAAACGGCAUCGACGAGCGCGAUGGCAGCUCAGCUGGCCACCGUCAACGGACUCUGCGUUGGGAGAACUUACCCUGCUUCAUCCAUGCCUGCAGGUACCUUCCUUUUUAGGUUCAUUUCUCAUUUCGAUUUCAAUUUUUUUUGUUUCUCUUAUGCUGAGGGAACGCGAUACAUUUCUGCUAACUGGGUUUUGGAGACGGAUUCUGGGAUCUCUAAAGGGAUUGAACUGAAUGAGGAUUUAGUUCGAGGAACAUCCUGAUUGCGAUCAGAAGGGAGCUAGGAUUUAUAGAAAGGCUAGUGUAGUUAUUUGAUGAAAUGCCAUCGAAACUAAUUGAUUUAUGUGAGUAGAUAAUCAUAAUGUGAGGGAAAAUACCCAUCAGCAAUGGAAAUUUAUUGGGCUGUUUUGUUUCAGGGAAACUAAAUGCAACUUCAGUUGGUAAUUUGACUGUAUUCUGGCCGAGCAAACAACGUCAGCGUCAAUCACUCCGGGUCAUUGGUCUAUUUGGUGGGAAGAAAGAUGGCGAUGAUGCAUCUUCAAAGGUCGGACUUGUUAAUGCUUCUUCUCUUGUUGAUCAUUGUAUGAAGCCUUUGUAUAUAAGCUAUUUUCUUGGAUCUUCAAUCUGUUUCAUUUCUUCCACAAGUCACGGUUUUGAAUUAUAUUGAAAAUGUGAGAUCCCACCGGAUAGUAUGGUGUAUGCCCCUGAGUAGGAGGAGAAACAAACAGUUAACCACUGGAUUUGUGUUAUCCUUCUAACAAUAACAACUAUAUCUUGAACCACUGGAUUUGAGUGGUUUAGUAUCUUGAAGGAGCAAUCUGGGUUCAGAUACUGUGGUUAAGUCACUCAAAUCCAGUUUUUUUUUAUAGUUCUAGGUUGGUAUGGGGUGGUUUUAAGCCAUGUAUUUAAGAAUUCAUGUAUUUGAUUGAAUAAUUUGUUUGGUAUGCAAAAAAACUGAAUCAAAUACAUACUACCUGGGGUUCUGAAAUCUUUAAGAAUCAUUUGUUUUACACUUAUGAUAUCCCACUUGAACAUGCAUACCAAACAAAUGAUUUGUUAAAAUACUUGUUGUCAAUUCCUUGCAUUUAUAAAUACAUGUUAUUUAACCGAAUACAUGGUUUUAAGAAUCCCUCCACCAACCAUUUUUUGAUAUGUUUCUCGGAAUAAUGUUCUCUACUGUUUUGUAACUCAUUCUCUUUUAUUUUCGGUAUUAAACUCCAGUUGACUUCUUUACAGCAUAAUAAACGGAAACUGCCUGUUUUCUUUACCACUACAUCAAGGAAGUUGCGGCAGCAACGUGCAUUCACUGUGACGAAUGAGUACUCUCAAAAUGCCGAUUUUCCGAGAACCUAUGGGAAAAAGGAGAAGAAGCCAUUUCCAAUACCAGUAGUGGAGUUGAGGAGAGCUGCCAGGGAGAGACUCAAGAACAAGAACAAGAACGACAAGCCGAAAGGACGACCCCCACCUCCAAAGCAAGGGUUGGUCGUACAAAGUCUCAUCCCUCUUGCUUACGAAGUUUACAAUGCGAGGAUCACGCUCAUUAACAAUAUCAAAAGAUUGUUGAAAGUGGUACCCGUCCACGCUUGCGGGUAAAGUUUCCUCCUUUCUCCGAAAACUGUUAUUAUUGCUUGUUGUUGAAUAGGAUGCCUGGUGGAAAUUCUCAUAACGGUUUUCUUGCUAGGUGGUGUGAUGAAAUUCAUGUUGGGCCAGAGGGACAUCCAUUCAGGACGUGCAGAGGCAAGUAUACGAGUGUCCGGAAGGGUCUUCAUGAGUGGACCAGUGCCGUUGUCGAGGACAUAAUUGUGCAGGUAGAAUCCUACCAUCUGUAUGAUCGUCUUGGCAAUCGAAUACGUCACGAUCAAAGAUUCUCGAUUCCCAGAAUCCCGGCAGUGGUGGAGCUCUGUAUCCAAGCUGGUGUAGACCUUCCCGAAUUCCCUACAAAAAGGAGAAGAAAGCCGGUCAUUUGGAUUGGGAGAAAGGAAUUCGUCGAUGCAGACGAAAGCGAACUUCCUGAUCCAGUCCCCGAACCUCCUCUGAAGCCACUGUUGACAGAGAUACCGGACUCAGAAGUCGUUGCCCCAUCUAGUCAAGAAGAAACAACCUUGCUUUCCGAAGAGACCUUAGCGGCUUGGGAGAAAAUGACGAAAGGUUGUAACAGACUUAGGAAAAUGUAUACUGUUAGAGUCUGUGGGUACUGCCCGGAGGUCCAUGUCGGACCAAAUGGGCACAAGGUGCAAAUCUGUGGAGCACACAAGCACCAGCAACGAAACGGGCAGCAUGGUUGGCAGGCUGCGGUGCUGAACGACCUAAUACCACCAAGAUUCGUGUGGCAUCUCCCUGACGGGAGUGGGCAGCAAUUGAAACGUGAACUGAAAAGCUUCUAUGGUAAGGCUCCUGCUGUUGUGGAGCUGUGCAUCCAAGGUGGGGCUCAAGUGCCUGAAGAGUACAAAACAACAAUGAGGUUGGACAUUGGGAUUCCUACUAACGGUAAAGAAGCUGAAAUGGUUGUUUGAGGAUCACUGUACAAAAUAGGUGAGACUUGGAGUCGCUUUGCUUAUGGUUGGUGGAUUUCAUCCAGCAUGGACUGCAGACCUAAGAUCACAUCAGAACUAAACUACAGGCCAUGAAAAGCAUGUGAAUGAGAACUCGUCAUUGUAUGAUCAAGCUGGGUCCUUAAAAUGUGUUGACACCUCAUCAGUCAUAACCAUUGACAUCAAGUGUCUCUAUAAAUGAUAGAUUGGGACGCUGUAAAUCGAAUCCACCUCCAGGCUCCAACUGCUUCCCAACUGAAGAACAUUGCCCUUCAAAAUUAACCGUUACUCCAGUUUUUUUUAACAUAAAGUUUGAGGGCGUGGAGAAUCUGCCACCUGCUAACACACUUGCAAUCUAUGUUUCCAAACAUCAGAGCUUCCUGGACAUAUAUACUCUUCUAACUAUGUGUAGCAUCUUUUAAGUUCAUGAGCAACGUUAGUAAAGAGGGGGCUUCAGUCUUCUUCUUUCAUGGAAGAUGGGAAUUUAGCCACUUAACUAGUUUGGUUUGGCAGGUAGAAUGCGGGAUGGAAUUCAGAGUAUUUUCCUAUUCAAAUGGGAAAUUUAAAUCUCAACGAAAUGCAUUUUGAGAACUAAUUCUCCCAUUUUCAUCCAAAUUCCAUUCCACAUUGCCAAAUCAAAGUUCAGAUACCUGCAAUUCCUCAUGAACAUUUAGUUCACUUAUUCCAACAACUUGGUAGACAACAUUUCCUUAAAAUAAACUUGUCUUUACCAUUGUUGUUCCUACCAUAACACCUGUUUCAGUCUUGCUUUCCAUCUGUUUCACUAAACUUAAACUACCCUCCACUUCAUCAUCACCUUAUUUCCUCUCUUGUUUACCAGUAACAAACCUAUACCUUGUCAACUUCCUCCCCUCUCUUUCACCUUAUCUCCUACAUUUUUAACCCUUUCCCCUUCUUCCCCAGAACAAAACACACAGUAGCUAGUUAAAGAAUAAGAAUGCCAACUUCCAUUGGCAUUCUGCUCCUUGUCACAGUAAUAAUAACUUCAAACUCUAAGUGCGUUGACUCAUAUCGAAUAACCCUGAAACUUAUCCACCACAACUCAAUCUUCUCCCCCACGGCAGUACUGAACAAAUCAUCCAUACAACAAUUGGUAGAAGCUUCUUCUUCUACAGAAAAGGAACAUAUAGGAGCAAACCUUAUCCCAGGUAGCCAUUCAAUCUACUACGUCAAUUUCUCAAUUGGGCAGCCGCCGGUGCCUCAGCUGGCGGUAAUGGACACAGGGAGUAGCUUGCUGUGGGUCAAAUGCCUUCCUUGCUACCCAUGUUCACCCACUUCCAACACCCGCUUCUUCGAUCCCUCUAUGUCCUCCACUUUCCAACCCAAGGUGAGUGUCUGUCUAUAUGUUUCGAAAUUGUGAACAGUUUAUAAAAAGGAAUUGAUGUACUACUAUAUUGUACAUCACUCCUAUCCACGAUAGUUAAACUUUUGGUUUCUCUACUUCCCUAGUCAACGUUUCGUCCGAAAUCUUUAAAAUUUUGAAAUUUAUUGACAGAGUUGGACAAAAAAUUGUAACUGAAGGUUGGUUAGUACAUUGGCUAUAACAGAUGGAGAGAAUGGACGAUUUAAUAGUAAUGUGGGAGAAUGAUAUUUUGGUAAAGUACAAGGAGCAAUAGCAUUUUUCCUUUAUAAAAAUUAAAGAUGUUUCAAAUACAAUAUUGAGGAAAAAGUUAUUGCAAAAGGAUGAUUUUGUUGAGUUUGAGACUAUAUUUUUGGAGAUAAUAGUAUAUCUCGAUCAAUACAAUAUAAAAAGAUAAAAAAAAUAUUAUAAUAAUGUUUAUUUAUAAGAUGUGUUUGAUUUGAAAUCAUAAUAUUCGAAUCGUCAUGCACAUAACUUUGAGCCCUCCAUUUGGAACAAUUUUCUUUGUUUAUAAAAAGAACAAUAGUACAUUAGAACAUCUCUAAUAAUAAGUGCUAAAGUGUAAAAUUAAAAUGCCAAAUUUGGCUUUUAAAGUUUUAAAAUAUCAUCAAAAUUGAUCAUCAUGUUUAACAAAUAUGAAUUUUGAUAUAAAAAUUAUCAAAAUUAGAAUUAAAAUAAAAAAUUAUAAUAAUGAAACAAAAAAGAAUUACAGAUUCCAAAAGACAUCCUCUCUAUAAAUACAAAUACUAAAUCAAUGAAUUAAACUUGAUACUUUAACACUUUGACUAACCAAAUUUAGCAUCUUGCACUAACCAUUAACCAUACCCAUUGUAGAUGGUUUUAUAGGCAUAAGCAAAAGUUCCAACUUUUAUAAGUAGUGAAAUUGUUAACUUAUUUUUCACUUUGAAGGCGUGUGACCCCACCUGCCGGAGCUGCAAUCCGACCACGAACCAAUGCGAGUACAACAUACAAUACGUCGGCGCGCCUUCAUCUGAAGGAAUCAUAGCCAAAGAACAGCUGACAUUCCCCACGUGGGACAAUGGAUACAGUACCGUGCCGGAUGUACAAUUCGGGUGCUGUCGGAAAACUGAAGAUCUACCGAGGGAGUCUCACAUGACCGGAGUAAUGGGUCUCGGAGCAGAACCCGAUUCGCUGGUUUGGCGGGUCGGCAAGCCGAGAUUUUCGUAUUGCAUAGGGGACGUCUUCGACCCGUUUUACGAUUUCAAUCGGUUGGAAAUCGGAGAAGGGGCGGUGAUGGAAGGUGUUUGGACGCCGUUAACGAUCGAGAAAGGCCUGUACUAUGUAACCGUGGAACGAAUUAGCCUUGGUGGGUCCACUCUGGAUAUACCCGAUUCCGCUUUCAAGAAAACCCCCGGCGUGGACGACGGGGUCAUGAUCGACACCGGAGCACAGGUGACUGUUUAUUUUCAUAAUUAUGAUUGUUUCAUUCAAGUACGAUUUCACUAAGUAAUUUAUGAAAACGGGCUGUGAAUCCCAUGCUUACUAAAAGUGCUUACCUGAUUUUGUUUCCAUAGAACAUUUAAAAUUGAGGAUUGUUUUGACUAUAGGUACGAUUUAAGAUAGUAAGAGAUUUGAAUAGGUUCGUAGGCUAUUAAAUAAAUUAACGUGUUAUUUAUAUGAAUGAUUGGAAAUAGAUAAAGAUUUUGAAAUAGAGUAUUUAAGUAAGUGAUUUAUAGGUCAUUUUAAGUAUAAUUAUUAUAAAUAGAGAAAAAUAAAUAAAAAAGUACUAAAAUAUUUGAGGUUAUCAUGACCUUAUUAACUAAAAAAAGAAAAGAAAUUAAUGAUUAUUUGGGUUAAAUUUUUUUAUUUUUUUCUCCUUCAAAAUUUCUACUACUCACGGUACUUGAAAUUAUUUAUAAAAAGUUUUCUAAACCCACAAGAUAAUUUUAUCUCUUUCGAUUUAAAUGUCUAAAUAAGUAAUUUGAAAUUAAAUUUUUGUUGAGAUCCGUAGUUUACUAGUGUUUUGUAAGAAAUUUAAACCUUUUUUAGACAAUCAUCACUCAAUUUUAUUAAUGUUGGUUAUCAAACCAGAUAUUUUAUAGGAUUAUCGUCCACUCCAUUCACACCAUAGAAGGUAAAUGAAUAAAAAAAUUAAUGUGCACAACCUAAUUUCUACUUCGUCGAAUGACUUACACCUCAAAAUUAGAGUAAACAAAACUGGAGUUAAUACAAUAAUAACAAGAUGAAGACUUAGCUUUAACGAAAAUAACACAUUUUUAAUGAAUCACAUCAUUGAUGAAGAAAACGUGUUCAUUGAACAAAACUAGUUAUGUUUGCAACAGUACACAUACCUGAAGAAAGAAGCAUUCGAAGUGGUGGAAUAUGCAGUCCGUGACCAGCUGAGGGGCACGAAAUGGAAGCGAGUGUGGAUACAACAAGCAAAUGGAAGGAUUUGCUUCGGUGGGAGAGUCGCUGAAGUCGCUCAAAGUUUCCCGCUUCUGGGUAUCCAUUUCGAGGGCGGGGCGGACCUGUACCUCGACGGAUUCGGAACCUUCGUGCAACUUAACUGGGACACCUUCUGCUUGGCAUUCCUUGAAACUUCUGAGGGUGAAGACUCUAGUUGCAUAGGUAUCUUGGCUCAGCAGAACUACAACGUUGGCUUUGAUCUUGUUGAUAAGAGAGUCUAUUUCCAGAGGAUUGCUUGUGAGGAUCUUCAUCUAUAAAGCUUGAUGAAUCGUGCUUGGAAAGUUAAAUGUUACACGUAAAAUUUACAUUAAAGGUAAUUGUAUUGUGAAUCUCUUCGCUCAUCAUAGAGGCAUUUAUUUUUUUUGAAAUUCAUUUGAUUUCUUCUUUAAAUGUGACAUUAUUAAUUAUAUUCAUGACAACAUAACCUUAAAAUUACCUUAAACUCGGGUUAUAAAAUUGACAACAUAGCCUUAAUAUUUGUAGCCACGAUUUAAUAUAAAAGAAAAUAUUUAGAUGCUCACAAUUAUAAAUUAUAAAGUUAGAUGAAUAAUAUAGUUUGUUUUGCACCACGCAGUAUAGAUUUCAAAUACAUUUAUUUCUGUCGUCAAAACGUUACGAUUUUUUAAAAUUGGGGAGCUGAGCUGUGUCGCGCCACCUAGGUUGAAGCAUGAAGGAAGGUUGGGCUGGCAGUGAUCCUUAGCUAGUUCCACGAUGGUGUCCCAAGUCAAUUGAAGUCUCAAAUAAAAUAUUUAGUUAAUUCCUAAAUUACCCUUCCGUGUGUAUGUACGGUGGGAGAUACAAAAGAUUGAACUUAGCUGUACUUUUACGGGUUGUUUGGAUGAGGUAUUUUUUAUAUGUGAUAUUUUGGAAUAAAGUAGUGGAUUAUUUGAGAAUGUUGUAGUUGUGUGGUACAAAAGACUUGUUGUAUAAAAAUUAUCUUGUUUGACUAAUUUAAAACAAUGUGUUAAUUCGCAUGUGGUAUGUGAUGAAUAAAAAGGUCUAUUACUAUAUUACCCUCAUAAAAUUCAAUCUCUAAUGAAGACAAUAACCGUGUUUGUGAGAUUUUUUUGUUAUGUAUUUUAUUGUAAAAUAAUGUUUUAUGUCUUCAAGUCUUUUGAAGUUGGACUAUAUAGUAGUCUUAUAUUUAAACUUUCUAAUUAAUAAGUUAGGCAGGAUGGGGAUAACCACGAGUAUUUGAAAUCCACAAGUUUGGGAUGUGUAUGAAUAUUGAUAUUCGGAUGAGGACGGGGAUGGGGAUGAGUUUUAUGAAUAGAUAUGGAGAUAGGUAUAGGUAUCCCGUCCAAAACCGCCCUAUUGCCGAGUCUAGUUGUGAAAAGGAAGAACAAAUCAAGGGUAAUUUGGGGUUUAAAAAAUAAUGGAUUGUUACAGAAACCCACUAAUUUCUAUCACAUCCCACCAAAGUAUUUUAAAUAUCAUCAACACCUACUAUUUCAAAGAUCUUAUUUCAAAAUAUCACCGAUUUUAUUUUGGAUGUCAAAUAUAAUAUUUGGACCAAAAUACCACUUCCAAAUGCAUCCACCCAUUAGAGUUUGAAUACAAUUUGCUCUCGUAGAUCUAGGAAAAAGCCAAUAAUUAAAAGAAACUUAAAGUAGGAGAGAAAUCACUGUUGCAUUAGUCUCUCAUCUAUGACUGCUCUGCUGACUUAAAGAACGGUUGUGAUUGAGUAUGAAGAUUUGAUGAUGCAAAAUUGUUUGUUUUUAAUUAUUUUGGACGGUUUAGAUUAUUUUUAAAGAUUUAACGGUUGAUAAUCAUUUGUAUUAUACAAAUGAGCUUGCCUAUGUUUGUAUGUACCUAAAAUUUAAAUUAAUUAAUAUAUUUUUCCUAUUUUUAUNNNNNNNNNNNNNNNNNNNNNNNNNNNNNNNNNNNNNNNNNNNNNNNNNNNNNNNNNNNNNNUAAUUUUUGCGUUAAAUUUUUUUAUUUUUAGACACGAUUAAAAGAAGCACAAUCAUGAUAAGAUUUCGACAAACUUUUUUUAGGUCAAACGCGUAUGUUGAUUACGUCAAAAUUAGACCUCAUAUCGUUGAACUCGAUUAUGUAACAAUGAUCGGGAUCGUUGAUCAAUGCGUGUAACGAAUUUUUCAAUUAUUUUCCCCANNNNNNNNNNNNNNNNNNNNNNNNNNNNNNNNNNNGAUUUAAAGUAUGUUUUUUUUUUUGCCACCCGCAUGUGGGUAGCGAUUCUCAAACACCAACUACAUAAAAUUGAUAUUAUGCAAUUAAUGAGAUAUUAUCACUUUUGUAAAUAAAAAGCAAAUAUGCACAUAAAUUUGAAUAAUGGUUAAAUUGGAUUGGCUAUUCAUUGUUUAGAUUUUCUUAUUAUUUUGACUUAGCCUUGCAUGGAAUAGUUUACAAAGAAAACUGAAACAUGGCUCAUUAAUUACAUACCAUUCUGUUUGACUCAAAGUAAGUAAAUCUCAAUUACACAAAAUGAAAAUUCAUUGACAUUUCCUUAUUAUCUCACUCCUCGCCUCCAUAUGUCUAAGUACAUUUAAUAGCGUGGUAUGUUAACGACUNNNNNNNNNNNNNNNNNNNNNNNNNNNNNNNNNNNNNNNNNNNNNNNNNNNNNNNNNNNNNNNNNNNNNNNNNNNNNNNNNNNNNNNNNNNNNNNNNNNNNNNNNNNNNNNNNNNNNNNNNNNNNNNNNNNNNNNNNNNNNNNNNNNNNNNNNNNNNNNNNNNNNNNNNNNNNNNNNNNNNNNNNNNNNNNNNNNNNNNNNNNNNNNNNNNNNNNNNNNNNNNNNNNNNNNNNNNNNNNNNNNNNNNNNNNNNNNNNNNNNNNNNNNNNNNNNNNNNNNNNNNNNNNNNNNNNNNNNNNNNNNNNNNNNNNNNNNNNNNNNNNNAAUUUUAUGUUAUCCGCUGCUUAAUUAAAAGGAUAUUUUAGUAACUUUAUUUACUUUAAAAAUGAGUGUAUGACAUUCAAUUUGGGAUGUCUCAUGUGUGAAUUUUAAAAAAUGCAUUUCUCAUUGUUUUUAUAUAGCACCUUCGACCUGUUUAAAUAAGUAUUUAGACUGAAAGUCAGCAGUCUUAAAAUUUAAGUAAUCGUUGAGUAACAAAAUACCCAUAUGCGCACUUCUAAUUAUCCUCUUUAAGGCUAUAAAACUUUUGGUAUACUUAAAUAAAUAUUUUGAUGGUAAAUCGACAAUCUUAAAAUUUACUUGAAUACAGUAUCACAACGUGAUAACUCAUCAAAGGAAGUAAAAAAUUAAUUAAGGAAUAGUCGAAUGAUAUUGUUUGCAGCUUCCAAACAUUUAGUUAUUAAAUUGUGCACAUACAUGCAGGAGGAGACAGAGGAUGGUGGCGGCCACGGUGGCACGGAAACUACUGCAUGUUCAAGGUAGAAUACGCCGGUGGACAGAGUUCGGAAGGAGUCUACGCCACCGAACAACUAACCUUUCGAACCUCCGACGACGGGACAAUCACUGUCCCGAAACUUCUAUUUGGCUGCACUAUUCUGGAGACUGGGACCAACGAUCUCGAUCCACGAGUCAACGGGAUACUAGGAUUGGGUACAUGGGUUCCUGGUAUGCCGCGAGGAGCAAAAUCCUUGGUGAACCAAUUGGGGGCCAAAUUCUCGUAUUGUGUCGGUAGCUUAUCCGACAUUACAUACCCUUAUAACCAAUUAUCUUUCGGUGAUGCUGUUGAUUUAGCCGGCGACCAAACUCCGUUCUACUUCAGAGAAGGCAAUUACUACAUGCACCUCGUGAAUAUCAACUUAGGAGGACUAGUAUUAUUUACUUAUGCUGUAGUAUCAAAUAUUUUCUUCUAACAUGCACUUUUGUCACCUCUAUAACAGAAUAAUAUAAUUAGAUUCAUAAUUAACUUUUUUUCAAUAACUCAAGUUAGUGGGAUGCAACGAUUUUUAACAUGGUCUCAGACCCUAAUUUGACUAAAUGGUCAUGUAUUCAAAGUAUGUUGUGUCCGUGCAAACUUCAAAACCGUUAGUUGGAUUUCGUUUGAAAGGUAUAAGAGAAUGAUAUAAUCAUAAUUUCAUUUCCUCAUAUGGUGGCAAGACAAACUUUCAUUCAUCUUCCAAACUGUAUGUAGUCCAAUCUUAUGACCUAAGUUGAUAUUUAAUGUGUUUUAUCUUAUUCUAUCUACUCCCUUUGGGAGCUAUCUAUCACCCAAAAAUAACUAAGACCCAUCCUGCUUAAAAGAAAGAAUAGACUCCAAAUUUUCUGUCUUCUGGACAUCCUACGAAUCCUAACAGGAAUGUUCAAAUCUUAUUUAUAUACCAAUUACAAAGACACAAGAUCCUCACUUCACAAAUGGGGAAGGUUGGAUUUAAGCAUUCAAUCGCAUCCAAAGAAUGUGACACAUUGCCAGAGUGUUAGUACCUUGAAUCUUACGUAAUUAUGUAUAGGUUUGUCCUUUCAUCUACUAAUCAAAUGGCUAGCUAAUCAAAUGAUCGCAUCUAAUCAUUGCCAUCUAAUAAAAAGCAGAACUUUCAGCCACUAAGCUAUCAAAAUGUGGCCAAUUUGAUCAUCAUUGUUGUCGUCCACUACAGCUGCACAAGCUUGACGGAACCUGGAGAUAAAUAGAUGAUGUGUUCAGUCAAAUGCUUUGACGAAAGAGGGGCUUAUUCAUACGAAACACAUGUACCUUGACAUGAUGUGGCAUGAUUUUGACAUCGAAAGGCACAUGAAGCCAUGCCUCUGGUGGGUAUAGGAGAAAAUUCUCAGGUUUGCUGGUGUAUACAUCUGCAUAUUGAUGAAUGUGAUAGGCGAAUGCAGAUUCUUGGCCUGUGUCGGUGAGAAACGUGGCCCCAAAUGACUCAUUGAACAUCUUCCUCAUCGUCUCCCUCGCCUCUUGCCUCUUUUGAUUCAGCUCCUUAAGGAGCAAGCCAUAGGUUUCGCUUCUGUUACUAUUCGGCACAAUGGAAUGCAAUCUCCCUAGCAGUUCUUGUAUGAUGUGGAAUUUCGCCUGUACAGGAAGUUUGUUCAGACCAAAAUAAUUUGAACUUGGUCACAAGAUAUCAAAGAAUUGACAAGCUGAAAAGCAUGGUGGUGAAACCAACCUGCUCAAACCGGUAACGAUCUCCAUUCUGUAUACGUAUUUCAUUCUGUAUAGAAUAGAGCACUCACGUAUCAUACAAAUGUUAUCAGUCCUAACAACUUAUGAGAAGGACUUAGUAAUAUUGCUUACUUCUAGUUCACGGAUGAUAGCAGCAGUUCGCCAUCCAGCCUUUGAAGGUCCCCUAAGAUCACUGAAGAGGUGAUCACCGAAAUAAAUCACCUACAAAGAGGAAGAUGAAUCUAUCAAGUAUAAUCAAAUAUAACGAGCUUAAAAGCACAUGGUUGAUCAUUCUUAUUCAAUCCAGAUAUCAAUGUGAACAAUUUUUCUCAAUGUUUCCCUAAGUUAGCUCUAUACUAUUUACAAAGGAAUUACGCCAAAAGUUGAAGUAUUAUACCUCUGGACCACGCCACUUGGUAAUUUCAAGAAAGGUUUUAAGGCAUCCAUGGUAAUAGAUUUUAUCCUGUACGAAAGUCUCCACCUUUGUAAAAGCCAGAGUGUCCCUUUCUGUGUCAUAGCAUCUACACGAACAUUAAUAAAACACUUUAGCACAUAUGUAAUUCCUAGUCAAGAUGACAGUCGAGAUCAGCUUGUUAUACAUGAAACAGUAGACAUCAAGUCAGGAAAAGUAGAGCCGCAACAUUCAUUAGGCUAUGGAACAUAAACAGGGCAGAAAAUAAGUAGUCUGAGACGCCAACCGAAAUGGGUGCUCAGAAGUGUAGAAGUCUGGCUUAUUGGCUUUAGCAAUCACAACAUCAAAGAGGUCUCUCCAGGAGUCUCCGCAACCAAUGGAAUCCUGAAGAACAUGCACACAUAAGCGAAUAAGUAUAGGAAAUCGAUGUUUACAUCAAUCCUUAAAGUAGAAUGCCAACCUUAAUAAUUGCAAGAAGAAAAACAGUUAGACGCAAGUGCAUUACAGAAAGCUUACAAAAAACUUGGAUGAUGUGGAGAAUAAUAGUUUUAGAAUACUCUUUUAUCACUUUCAGCAACACAGGUUCUAAAUUGUAGGUAAAAAAAGCAACAUAACAGAAUGUUCUAUCACUGUUUCAAGAAUGCGGUCAUUACCUCCAGCAUAUACCGCAUUCCCCCAUCCACAAAGUAAUAAGGAGAGUUGGUCAGCAAGAAAAGCUUCUUCCCCUUCUCUCUCAGCAUCUUAAGAAAACGAAGGGCCUCGUGCUAGAAUUGUCCAUGAUAAACCAGUGAACAUAGAGAGGAUGCAUCAAUAGAAUUUCUCGUCGUUGCCAAAAACAUAAUAUGCAGGUUCUUACUCACAUUUUUCAGCAGAUACUUUUGUGGAUUGGAAAGGAUGCCCCUAUGAGCUGACCCGCUUCGAUGAACAUGCUGAAUGGCACGGUUUACAUCUUGAUAGAUGUAAGAUGCAUCAAAUUCUAGCUUAGCAUCUACAAAGUGUUGGACAAUAUCUGCGAUAAGGCAUGCCUACAACAGGACAACAAGGGAUGUUGGAUGGUUUAAGGAGAACGAAAACAAAACAAGUUAAAAGCAAAAAAAUCCAUCAAGGACGGGAACACUUAUGCACUAGAGUAUAGAAAAGAAAGAGACAAUUACCUCACUAAAGCAGAAGAAAUCCAUUAGACCAACGAGUCCACGUGCUUGGUCACGACCAAUAUGCCUUGUGCCAUAUAUCUCUUCUAUUUCCUUCCUGCUAAGCUGCAAAUUGUACUAGAUGAGCAAUCAUAUCAUAAACAUUCUUCGCCUUAUAGACCAGGAAAAUGUAAUUGACUGACAUACCUUGCGUCGACCGAAGUAGCAUCCAUCUGGCUCAAUUGACCCAAAGAAAUCCAGCUUCAAAAGGCACCCGUUCUUCCUGUCAUAGUAUAAGCCUCUAAUGGGAAAUGUAGGAUCAUAUGUGAACCUCAUGCAUAUCUCAGGAUAUCUCAGCUGCAAGAAACAGACACCACAAUCUUAACACUAAGCACUGCAAUAUCACGUUUGUCAAAAGCCACAUAAGAAUCCCCAUGAUACCAACCUCAUUCACCAUAUGCUCCUUUGCAAGAUCAUAUAUCAAACUCUGCAAGUUGGAAGAGUAAUGGGCUAAUGUAUAGUCGUAGUCAAAUCCGUAAACUUGAAUGUUAUCCAAUCUAAGAUUCUUAUUCACAUAGAUGCCUAAAAGAGAGAACAGAAAACAGAGCAAAAAGUAAGAUUAGAGACAACACCGCAGCUUAUAAGCCCAAUUGAGGAAUAUAUACAAUUCACCAUUUACUAAACCUUUAGGAUUCAUCUUAGACAUUCCAGCGAGCGACUCGGGAACAGAAAGAAAACUAUUCUUUGCUGCCUCAAACUGGUGUCUAAUCUUCGCAACUUCAUCAUCAAAAUCUGAACCUUCAGAUUUCAGUCCUUCAGCCGAAGCACUAGCAGCAAUACUGUAACUCCUAAAAUUCCCUCCAAAACCUAAACCCCAAACAAGAAUAAAGAGAAAUUCAAAAUCAGGCAACCGCCCAAAGGAAUCACACAGAAGGUAUAAAAAAACUUACCUUCUCGUAUAGCCAGCAGAGAAAAGCACGCUCUCUGCAAGAAAGUCAUGAACUUUAUAUGAAAUGCAGAUACUUCUUACAAACAAUAGAAUAAAUGAGAAGAAAACAAGGAAAUGGUACACGAGUAUAGGGAGAAUCACACAGAAGGUAUAAAAAACUUACCUCCUCGUAUAGCCAGCAGAGAAAAGCAGGCUCUCUGCAAGAAAGUCAUGAACUUUAUAUGAAAUGCAGAUACUUCUUACAAACAAUAGAAUAAAUGAGAAGAAAACAAGGAAAUGGUACACGAGUAUAGGGCCGUAAAGAAACGAGUUUUCGGAUGGCGGCCAUGGCAGCAACUGUUCUCUCAGCUUCGUAGCAUUGGAGGAGAUGAAGUCUUUGUAUUACGAUUGAACAUUUCAAGAAAAGCUUCCCACUUGACUAUGAACUUUCAGCCAAAAGAAUGAAAAGUAGCCCACUUGGAGAUUUGGUGGUAGGUUAGGGUUUAUUUCUUUUUGAGGGAAGGUUAGGGUUUAUUUCGUUAGGUGAAGAGUGAUAAAAUCAGGGGGCUGAUUGAGACUGAAUAUUUAUAGUUACCAAAUAACCGCGCUGCUAACCCCAAAUUCGUUUUUGUUUGCAUUUAGCUCAAGGUUUUCGAUCGGACAAAAAUAUAUUGCAAGUCUUUUUUUUUGGGAAUUACUGCUACUAAAUUCUAAUCUCAUCGCUCUAAAAUAAUAGAAAUGGAUGAAAUUAUUAUUUUUUGGCUAACUAAAAUGAAAAUGUGCCACUAUCGACCACCGAUUGGAUGCUGGACUCGGAUGGGUCGGCAAUCCGUUUGGGUCUCGCCAUCAAAAAGAGGAGAACAUGAUGCGAUCUUGUUGCCAGCGAAGUCUUAAUGGGCUGACCACCCAUCUAGACCCUGCCGACGAAGAACCGUCUAGUAGACGGCAAUUAACUUUAACUUUAAUAUAUAUUAAAAUCCAUUAAUUACCAUGAUGUCAUAAUCUAACUAAUAAAUUAAUUAAUAGUUACCAUGAUUAAUAUUUUAGGAAUUAAUUUAUAAAAUAUUAACUCAUUUAAAAUUUAAACGGUAAAUUUACCAUAAAUUAAAAACCCAAAAUUCACAAUCCUUAAUCAUCAUAAUUACCAUAGUUUUUGUUUACUAGACCAUAAUUUUUUAUCACUCAAUGGCGUUAAUUACCUUGACAUGGAAGAGGGCAAAGGCUCUAGGAUUUCUUCCUAAGCCUGCCUUGAAGUUCCGGGACGAUCAAACGUUGCGCACCAAUUCAAUUGAAGGGAGCUUUCUAAAAUUCGAGAGGAUAAAAGAGGUUACAAUUUGGGUUUUUAUUUUUUGUCUCUAUGCUCGACGGUGGGCUUUUAUUCAAACAGCGCAAUGCCGUUGGGGGAACAACAACCGUUAGGAACACAACGGCUGUUGAGUCCACCACUGGCAAAUAGUUGGGCAGACAACGGUUGUUAAUGUAAAAAAGAUUAAGUCAUUUAGAUAUUUUGUAACAAAACUUCACAAAUCUAAUUGACCAAAAUGGAUAUUUAACGUUGCUUCAAAUCAAAUACUCUACAAUGUUUCUUAAUGUCCAGCUGCUAUGAAUUGAAGGCUGCAAUAUGUGUACAUGUUAACUUGAUCACUCAAGUUACACCUUUAACCUGAUAUAGCACUGCUCGCCAAUUUAUCGUCAUUGUCAUGUGUUCUAUUCAUAGCUGCGCAAACUCUCGUGAAGGUAGCUGCUUCUCCUCUAACAUGGCUGCAUGGUUUUCUAAGAACUCUUUGCUAUUCAUCUCAGUUAACCUGCAAAUUAUUCAUUUAACCAAGUUACUAUCAAACUCUGAAAUCCACAUACACAACACUUGAUUAUGCUUUGUCUAAAAAAGUGCAAUUACUUGCCUACUAAUGGUUCGAUCUUUAGCAAAGCCAAGCUCGUUAUCCACGCAAAGAUCAGCCUCAUCGUUUCUCCUCGAUCUUCCGGAGGUCCUCGGUGCCAUUUGCUGCGCAUCAGCAAUUGUAACAAUCUUCUCAAAAAGUUCGAAUGGAGUACCUUCUGCUGUGCACAGCAGUCUCGCCCUGUUCUCGUACAUGACCUGGAAAGAGUGACAAAAGAAAUUUGUGGUAUUUGUUCGAACAAGCUUUGGAUUCAAAAAUAAGACAAGGAAUUAGUUCAAGGAACAUACAUCAAUUAACGUGACGAAUCGAUACGCUGCUGUUCUGUUGUUAAGCCCCAAGAUUGGGAUACCUUCCAAUGCCAAUGUAUGGAAACUCUCUGAAAGAGGGUACAUAAAACAUUGUCUUGUAACAUUAGCAGGAAACUAUAUACUAUAUGCCUCCAAUGUUUAAGGAGUAAGAAUUAACUUACUGAACAAUCCAAAAUAAUCUGCAGCCCCAAGGGGUCUAUCACACAAUUCUUCAAAUUUGAAGUAUGCACAUCCAUCAGCAGCAAAUGGGACCUAACCACAUUGAGAAGAAAUAAAGCAGAUUAGAUGCUGAGAAACACCAAUGCUAAUUCAAGCAAAACUGCAAAUUCUCACACAAACCUGCAAUUUUCUUCCCAUUACUACUUCAACCUCUUCUGAUCUAACCUCGUGUUUGCCUACCAAUUCCUGAAACUUCUGCUUAAGGAGGCCAGCUAUAUUAUUCCCAACGAAGUAGAACCCUUGUUCAGCCUGUCCACCACCCAUGAAUCAUUAGUAGCGUUAUGAGAUUGUAGAUGAAAGGAAUGCUAAAUGAAGUCUCACCGAACCCAAUUUUCGGUAGUCUACUGAUGAGCCGAUUUCACGAACCACACAUCUUCCCUGGAAGAAAAAGACUUAUUUCCAUCAUAUUGAUGCUUGUUCUCUAAUUAAGGAUCUCAAACGCAUACAUACAUACAUACCUUCAGAGUUUCAAUGAAAGGAAGAAAUAGAUCCCUUUGCAAUCCACCUUCAUAUAGCUUAUCCGGGUUACGAUUUGAUGUCGCAACAAGAAUCUGUACUUGCCUCCAUCAUGGAUAAAUUAAAAAACAAGUUCUAAGUAUAUGCUCACAACCUUGAUGAGAAAAAAAUUCUGCAUUUCUUAUUUCUUGUUGUAAGAUGGACUUACAACACCAUUGUUGAAUAGAUGUCCAAAGAGGCGAUUUAGAAUCAACGCAUCAGCAACAUCAGUCACCUGAAAACAGAACCAAUGCAUAGAGUUAGUUAACACUAUUUCCAGCACACAAAUAAGUAUCAAACAACAUCAAAGAAACAACUGAUGAUGUGGAAUAAACAUACCAUGAAUUCAUCUAAACAUAAAAGAAUUGCUUCGUCAGAGAUCUCCCCUGCAACAACUUCAAGUGGGUCAGCCACGCCCCUAUGUCUCUGUGAAAAGGAGAAUUCUAUCAACUCAAACCCAGUUUGAAGUGCAUCAUGACCUUGAAAGAGUGACUCAAGUAAAAGAGGUAUGAACUUGACUCUUACUUGCAAGCGGCUAUGGACAUUCAACAUGAAGUCAUGAAAGUGGAUCCUCUUUUUCCUCCAACUGCAAGGCCUGAGAGAAAACCAAAGGAAAAAAAAAGAGUUAAAAAAUCCAGUAACUUCGUCAAAAGGCUGCGUUUAUUUCAGAAGGGAAUAACUAACUAACUGUGCAGAAAGCUUACAAUUGAUCAUAGAACAAAUCCAUCAACAUGGUCUUCCCGGUUCCAACACCUCCAUAAAGAUAAAGUCCUCUAACAGGAGAAUAUGAAGACUGUGGGAUGAAACGUGACCACAACCACCGUUUCCUGAUUGACAUUUGAUCAGACAAAUGUGACUCAACCUCUAAAUAUUCAUGUCUGAUGCAAAGGAAAAAGGACCAUGCUUUCAUCAUAUGAACAUUCACCUUGUAGAUUUCUCAGACGUAGCAUACCGAUCCAAUUUGCAGGCAUCAGCAGAAUCAACAAUCUCAUCAAAGAGCCUUUGAAGUUCAGUCAAAGUUCGUAACUGCAGAAGCAAACAGGAUCAAACUUUUAGAUUGGAAAUAGUAGGACAGGGUAUCUCUAUACAUAUAUUAGUAUCUACAAUUAGUAGGACAGGAUUUUAGGUUCAAAUUUAUGUUUUCAACUAUUUUAGUUGACAUUCUGAUACAAAUAAUAAAGUAAAUACUCGAGAGACACAAACCUCACAGUUAACAAUGACUAUGUUAGAGUUGAUUAUAACUAGGAGGGAGAUUAUAAAUAUAUUACAAUAACAAUGGGGUGAGACAUGACGGAAGAAAGAUUCAUACUUUUGCUUGCCUACAUGGGACAUGACUAAAGAAAAAUUGAUGCUUUUGCUCAUCUCAGUUGCAGUUCAGGUAAUAUUGACAUUAAACAAAUCAGAACCAAAUAAAAAACGUAAGAACGUAAUCUUAAAUAAAUAAAUAAAAUAACAAACACCUGGUAGUUAUCACCAUCCACAAGGUCUCCAGAAGCAAUCCUUCUUUGGUACUCCACAAGAGGCCCUGCUAUCCUUAGAUCUGUAAAAUGAAAUCAUAAUUACGUUUCAAAUUCCACAAAAUGGCGGUUGAAAAAUUAAAUCACAAAAGAAAUUGGUAAGAAGAUGUUGACCUGAACUUGUGACACUAGCAGCAGCAUCAGUUGCCAGAGUCCUAAAGUUGGCAAAUUUCCUGUUCUGAAAUCUGUCAGUUUUAAGAGAAGAAGCAGAUGUUCUUUGUAUCAAAUUCUGCUGCCUUGUUCUUAUUCCCACCAAACCAGCUGAGGAGUUGGUCGAUUCUUUAGUCCCAACAGUAGAAACUAAUUGCCGUACAGAUCGAAUACUUCUUCUCAUCCUUGUGUUCAAUUCCCAAAUAUAGGCCAACCAGAAAUGAAAAAGAUUCGUACUUGCAAAUGCCCUCCUGCAAAAGAAAAGCAGUUGGCUUUUUUAUAAUUUUUCUUGGUUUUUUUUCCAGUUUGACUCAAAAUCAGAAUUCCAAAGCAACUCACACCACCAAGAUCAAUCAAUCGGGACUCCAUCUGAGGGAAACAUAAGACAUAUGUAUGUAUGGGGUUCAUUACUCGGUAAAGAUAAUUUCAAUAGACUGAAAUGAAAGCAACACAAUUCUCAGAGGUCCAAAAAGAUGCAGACUUGACAGAUAAACAGAAGAAGUGAUAGCAAAAAUCCAUUCGUCUCAAAUCAUCGAAACAGGAUCAAACCCAGCAACAGCAAGAACAAACACCUAUAUAAAAAAACCCAGAUAUGAUUCGAAGAAACGCACCUAAGGGAAAGGAGAGAAUGCGAAUUGGGGACAGAGGAGGAAAGAAAUCUUAUUCCCAGCAGUGAUGAUUCGAAGUAUGGGAGAGAUUUUUGAGGAUAGUGGAAUUGGGAUUGGAUAGACUAUUAAGAAACAGAGUUGUUGGGAAGAAGAGGGAGAGUUAAUGGGAGAGAUGGUGAUGGUGACGAGGAAGGUUGAAUCAAAAGAAUUUGGGAAUGGGAAGGAAGAAAUGUCUUCUCUAUUUCGGAUUCAUUGAUUGAUUGGGGUUUGCUUUGCUUUCAGGGUGGCGUAUGUAUGCGGCUGGAUUAACGAAACUUGAUUAAAACGACGAAAUUAAUUAGUGUGGUUAAAAGUUUAAACAGUCUAUGGUACUUAACGAUGAUGUGGAUUGCUAAAUUAGCACGUGCGACGAUCAGAUGGCAACGGUAAGCAGCUGUGUGUUUGUGAAUGUUGUUUUCCACCUAUGGGAUCAUAUUCAUAUCCUUUUUUCUUGGUAUAAAACUAUAAAUGGGAUCAUAGGACCAUUUUUAAUGGCCAAGGUUUAUGUUAAAUAGCUAAAUUUCGAAAUUAAUUUUUUUAUGUGAAAUUUGGGGUGUCAAAGUGUUAAAAGUUUUAAAUUGGCUUAGUGAUUUAACGGUUUUGAUGGGGUUUUUAGAUAUUUGUAAUACUUUUUAUUUGCCUAUCAUUUUUAUGUUUGUGAUAACAUUUUUUAUAUUUAUUCUAUGUUAAUUAAAUUUUUAUAUUUUUCAAAAAUGAAUAUAACAAUAUCAAUUUUGAUGGUAUUUAAAAAAAUUUAAAACUACGUAAAUUGAUAUUUUAACAAAGUCCAUAGCCAAAUUUGGUUAUGUUNNNNNNNNNNNNNNNNNNNNNNNNNNNNNNNNNNNNNNNNNNNNNNNNNNNNNNNNNNNNNNNNNNNNNNNNNNNNNNNNNNNNNNNNNNNNNNNNNNNNNNNNNNNNNNNNNNNNNNNNNNNNNNNNNNNNNNNNNNNNNNNNNNNNNNNNNNNNNNNNNNNNNNNNNNNNNNNNNNNNNNNNNNNNNNNNNNNNNNNNNNNNNNNNNNNNNNNNNNNNNNNNNNNNNNNNNNNNNNNNNNNNNNNNNNNNNNNNNNNNNNNNNNNNNNNNNNNNNNNNNNNNNNNNAAAGAUAGAUUGAAACUCAAAUAAUGUGAUCUGAUCAUUUCUCAAGUCUUGCACUGAAACUCAAAUAACAUGGUUUGACCAUUCUCAGACUCAAUGCGGUCUAAAAAUGAUCAGAUCACGUUAUUUAAGUUUCAAUCCAUCUUUUUAAGUUAUUUCAUAUUAAAAUGUGUCAACAAAAAUUUGAAAUACUUGAUGUUUUAUAUUUGGUUUUGGAAAAUAUGAUGAUAAAAAAUCGGUUACCACUGUAAAACCGAAUGUUAAUGAAUUAAGAUCGAAAUAUGUGGAAACUCGAACAUAACAGAUUCAUUUUUAAGGUCAAAUUGUGUGUGUUCUAGUAUGAGGUUCCACUUCUUAUUAGUUAACUGAUGGAUUGUACUUUGAUUAGUUUAACAUGUGAUGUGGCAGCAGGAGGUGGAGUAAAUUAUAGUUGUAUAUCGUUAUCAUGAGAUGGUGGGGGCCACAGUUCCACCGCAUCCUCCAAGAACAUUGGCCUAUCGCCACAGAAACUGUUUCCGAGUGGGCAGUCUUUCUUUGAACUUUUGAACUUUGAGAGAAUCUAAUUCUACCCAAUGAUGUGGCAAUCUUACAUUUAGAAUUUGAGAUUACGUUUAGGAUAUAGAUUUCGAAAAUAGAUUUGAUGAAUAUAUUCUUACAACUUACAAGAGAUAUUAUAUUAUCAGUAUUCAUAUAUAGAGCAUGUUGGAUCAAAGGUCUCUUAAAUUGCCAGCACACAACAUAAUUAAUUACAUUAUUCCACCGAAACAUUACAAUAUCAAUCCAAUUACCCCGUACAAUGUUCGUAAUUUUAUUAAUUAGUUUUAGUGAUUCAGCCGACAAGUUCACUAUGACUUGUUGGUCAUGAACAAAAUAUUAGAUUUGGUUUGGUAUAAGGGAUAUUUUGUUACAUUUUCUGGAAAUUUUAUAUUUUGAGAUAGUUUUGUUUGUUUAGUAUUUGGUAGAGUUGUACUUGCAAUUUUCUAAUAUUCAGACUUUCGACUCCUUACAAUAUAAUAAUGUCUCUAGUACUUGACCAGGGCCUUCCAAAUCUAACAUUUUUGGCUUCCAUAACAUUGUUACUUACUUAGUUACUUGCAAUAUUUUGUUAUCAUUGAAAAUCUCAACAUGUUGUUAUUGAGCCGAGAGAAGAACCUUUCAAAUUGUCCCGAUAAAUAUAUCGGCCGCAAAUGAGAUGAUGGGAAAUGUUGAUCUCUUUUUUAGUUGAAGAUAAAUUUAACGAAUAUAUCAUUGCGAGAGAUAGGAAAAGAAAAAAGUAUCUUAUUAUUGGUGUUUAUAUGUUGGAUUCAAAUUUAGAAAUUAGAACCUCUUAAAUUGCUAGGACACAACGGAACCAAUUGCGUUACUUCACCAAAAUCCAUUUAGGAUAUCAAUUCAAUUAAAUCGUACACUGUUUGUAAUUUUAUUAAAUAUUUUACCGAUUCCACCGGCAAGUUCACUAUGGGUUCUUGGUCAUGAACAAAAUGUUAGAUUUGGUUUGGUCUAAGGUAUAUUGUUGUGGAAAGUAUGAAUAAUUGAAAAAUUCUCAAUAUCAUAUCUUGUUUGGUUGACUGGAAUUAAUUGGUUAACUGGAUUAGUUUAGAUGAAAUUUUUAAUAUAUAAGAUAAAAUUAAUUAAUUAUUAAGGAAGUAAUGUGGGCUACCGUGAUUUUAAAUGGAGACUACUCAAAAUAAAUUAUUUCCUUCAAAAAUCACUACAAGAAAAAAUGCAUUAUAGUCGCGGGACCAUAGUCGCAGUGACACGUGUGUGCGACUAGCUUUGUCGCACACAUCAUCCGUGUUGUCACAGUCAGUCUGAGACUGCGACUAAUUUAAUCGCGAGCCCAAUAAUUACAUGCAGGCCUGCGACAAAUAUCGCAUGCGACUAAAUGGCCUGGGACAAAACUUUGCCCGCAACUAAUUUAGUCGCAAUCGACCUGAGACAAUGUUCUAACCUGCGAUGAAAUGGAUGAAUGUCUACCCUCCAGAUCACGUAUUGUCACCAUUCUCUUCCAUUCUUCCCUUUCUCCUCUCUUCUCCUCUAUUUUCUUCUUCUUCCUCUCUUCUGAAAUUCUGCUAAGACGACACUGGCAGCCGGCAGACGAGAUCGAGGGAGGUGGGUCGUCGGUGCAGGAUCCAGUGACGGAGGGGUCGAGCUUCCUGGUAAGUUGUUCAUCUUUUUCUCAAUAUUUGGUUCUGAAUUUAUUUAUUUUGAAAUCUCUGUUCUUCUAUUAUAGGGAAAGGGAAUCAAUUUGAUGCACUGAAGAACAAAUUUGUUGCCCUCUCUGAUCCACUCGGUGAUAGGUUGAGAUUUACGAGAGCUUUUUAAAUCGGAUCUAGAAGCCGUUUCUCCAGUUCCAGAUUCGAACUCUUGUUUAGAGCCUUUUUAAUUAUGAUAUAUCAGCCGCUAAUCAGUGAGACUAAUGUUCGAUUGAUCUGAAACGAUGAUUGCGGUUUACUGGAUGGAUGAAUGCAGGUUGCAUACUUUUGUUGCAGUACAGUGGGCAGAGUCGUUGGAGUAAGGUACAAAGCAUGUGACGGUAAUGAACCAACCAAAAAGCAAGUGAGUGUAUUGUUUGCAUAUCUGCAGAAGCAAACAGAUAGAAAACGACCCGUAACAGCUUUGCCGAUGGAAAAAAAAAUCUGACCUGAUGACGAAAGCUUUUGAUGAUGCUAGAAAGAACACAACACAACAGUCCAACGCUCAUUAAAACUACUCAGUCAAACUACAGUACUAUCUGUUACUAGCCGUUGAUGCUUUUCUCAUUUUCAGUACACAGAAAAAGGUCCAAGUCUUGCAAUAGAAUACCCCCUUGUAUCAGCCUAAGAAGAACAUCAUCAUCCUUAUGUACAUGGUGAACAAAAGAACCAAACCCCACACUAAAUAUUACACAAUUUCAUCUACCAAAUAAAGAAAGAUUCCAUCUUUGUAAAGAAUCAAUCCAAAAAAAGAGAUAUUAUCAUUCCAUCAUGUUCUAGUGUUUUGUUCCUCUGGGAGUUCCAAUGACUUACCUAGGACCAGACAGCUCCAUGGCAUAGGAAUCCAAGGAGCGUUCAUCAUCAUCGUCAUCGUCAUCAGCCAUCGACAUGCCAAGCAUGCAGCUACUCGACCGAUCAAGGCUUCCAUUUUCGAAUACAGUAAUGGUGGUCCUGUUGUAGACAUUGUUCAUGGUGGUGGUGGGAUCAGUAGUAUGAUUGUGGGAAGCUGCCCAUUUCUCAGCUAGGCCGUCCCCUUCGAGCAUCCGGACCACUUCAGACAUUUUCGGACGGUGAGCUGGGAGGUAUUGAGUACAUAGCACUGCUACUUGCAGCAUCUCACCAACUUCAAUCCCAUCAUAGCUGCUGCUCCUCAGCUCUCUGUCCACCAACUCUUCCUCUCUUUUCUCCUUCUGUAUCUUCUUUACCCAUUCAAGCAUAGCUCCUUUCUGAUUGACACUCUUCCCAAACUCGAGGGCUCUCAUUCCUGUAAUGAGCUCUAUCAGCAAGAUACCAAACCCAAACACAUCUGUCUUCUCAGAAGAUUGGCCAGUGGAGAGAUACUCUGGCGCAAUGUGUCCCACCGUGCCACGAACUGCAGUCGUUACAUGCGAAUCGGCAUGGUCAAGGAGCUUAGCGAGGCCGAAAUCGCCAACCACUGCCUCGCAAUAGUCAUCAAGCAGCACAUUGGCAGCCUUCACGUCUCUGUGAAUGAUCUUUGGGUCACAUUGCUCAUGGAGAUACAAAAGACCCCUGGCUGCCCCGAUUGCUAUCCUCUUCCUUGCGUUCCAAUCCAAUGCUGGUUUUCCUGCAAUUCAUCGGAUUCAUUUUGAUAUGAUUGCCAAAACUCAGUAUCAGAACAUCAAUCAACCAAGGACGACUAAAAUGCAAAUACCUCUAAGCCUUGAGGCCACACUGCCGUUGGACAUGUAAGGAUAGACCAAGAGCCUCUCAUUAGCAGUGGCGCAAUAUCCAACCAGCCGGAGCAAAUUUCGGUGAACUGCAAGGCUGAUCAUUUCCAACUCGGUCCUGAAUUGAGACUCGCCAGAGCUUCCAGUCAAGUCCUUGAGACGUUUCACAGCCACGGUCGACCCAUCUCCUAACUUCCCCUUGUACACAUUGCCAAACCCUCCAGCACCAAGUAUGUUCUUCGAGCUGAAGUUGCCAGUGGCAUGCUGGAGCUCUCUGAAGCUGAAGUUUCUCAGGUUCCCUAAGCUUAUUAGUCCCUCUUCUUGUUUGUCUGGAACCAAAAAGAUGUUAAAUUUCAGUUUCGGAAUAUAGAAAGCUUAUUGUGUGUAAUGUGCUACUGUCAAUAAUUAUUACUUACCAUUAAUGUUGAGCACAAUUUCGCUUCUUUGCCUCUUUCUAUACCAGAGGAGCCCAAGAACCAGAACCAAGAAAGAGAUUGACCCAAGACUAACUCCCACAGCAACUCCAAUGUUCUUAGACUUGUGCUUUCCUACAUUUUCAUAUCAAAUUAUAAGAGCUAAAACUAGAAUGCUGAUUUGAAAAACACUCAUAUGGGAAGGUUUGGACCCUACAUUAUACACCAAAAUCGAAAAUAGGUGUGAUGCAGGACUCACCAAAACAAUGAAAAAAGGUAUAUCAAAAUACAAGUAAAGAAGAGAAAAAGGCUGUAAAUUUACCAGGAGAUGAAGCAAGUGAGAAAGGGAGAGGACCAGAAUUGACUGGCCCAAAACAUCCAUCACUGGACUUGCUUCCACAUAUCAGUGGGUUACCAACCACACUGCAUUUAAUUAACAGUGAGCAAAACGACAACAAGAAACCAGAGUCACAAGAAUAUUGUUAAAUCAAAGCAUUGGCCAAUCAGAUACUACCAAAAUAACAAUUGCAGGGUAAACCAUUAUAUACUGCUUACUUGAAUGUUCUUGUGGGAAACUUGGGAACCGGUCCACUCAGAUUGUUAUAAGACAAGUCCCUGCAAAGAUACACAGUGCAUAAUGAUAAUAAUAAUCAAAAGUUGGAAAACAAAACAUGCUACUCGAGUAUCAUCAAGACUUUGAUUUUCUCUUUUCUGGGGUCAGAUUCCUUUUGAUUCGAUUCUCUAGGCACUGAAUUGCAUAGCAUACUAACAAACAACACUAUGCCAAACCAAAAAAAUGUAUGAACAAUGUGGCUAAAGAAUUAACAACAAAGAAAAGGAAAUGAAAAUCUAUACUCACAAGAAAGCAAGCCGUGGGAUUUUGGCUAAGGACAGUGGGAAAGGGCCAGAGAAGCUAUUGUUGUUCAGCCUCCUAGUCUCAUUGCAUGACAAAAACAAAAACCAAAAAACAAACAAAACACAAACAUUGUACAUGAGAUCUCUCCUCCCACAUUAAACAAAUGAAUAAUGAACCCGGAUAAAUUGGCAGAAUUUCAUGGAAUGAAACAUCACAACUUCCUUGUUUUCUUUCUUUUUUCAACCUUCCAAACCGACCAAUUGACGCCGUUAUACUAAAGUUAUCGAUCUCCGUUACUUACAGGUACUGGAGGCCAACUAGCUGACCGAAAGAAUCUGGAACUGAACCAGAGAAACGGUUAUUGGAGAGGUCCAAAGUCUGAAGCUUAGAAAGUUGCCCAAUCUCUAGUGGGAUUUUGCCAGAGAUGUUGUUGUUCUGCAACAACCUUCAAAACAACAAAACAGAAACCUAAGGCACUGACAAUGAAACCAGAAAGCCAAUUCCAAAACAAAGGUUUGAUUUUUACACUUGGCGAAGAUUGGUGAGGUUCCCAAUAGCAGCAGACAGAGUUCCAGACAGAGAUUGACUAGGAGCUCCCCUGUAAACAAAAGAAUGCAACUUUCUUGUCAGUUUCUCAUUUUAUCGAAAACCAACAUAAGGGAAAAGUGAAAUGAGAUGAGAAAAACCCACAAGCCAAUGACAAGAUAGUCAGGGGAGCAAGUGAUCAUAGCCCAGCUACAAGGGUCAACAGAGUCUUCAUCCCAGUUCUUCAAAAUUCCAUGCGGGUCAUCCAAGCUUUCCUUGACUCUGAUCAGAGCCUCAACUGCACAUAAACAAACACAAACCGAAAAACCAUUUGAGAAAUUUUGGGUUUUGGGGAGCUGAAAAUUUGGGGAAAGUUGAGUUUUAUAAAUAUACCUUCAUGGUUGCGAGUCUCGUAGGAGGAACAGAGUGGAUAAUGGAUAAAAAGAGUGAGAAGAACAACAAGAAGAAGAAACUGUUUGGAAGCCAUGAUACUGUCUAGAAUGGAAACAAAUGCUUAAAGGCUUAUGAUAUGAUGAUGGUGAGGAUGAGGAUGAGGGGGAGCCAUGAAUUGUGAAUCUUUUUACACAGAGGAGGAGGGGAGCAAAAGGAAAAGUGAGUUAAAGAACCGUUUUGUGUUAUAUAUAUUUAUAUUUUAUAGAUGAGUGUUGUGGGUUUUGGUUACUUUUUUCCUUUAGUUUUUCACUUUUUUGGCAGUCACCUCCUUUUGCCAGCUCUCUUUCUUCUUUCCCUUUAUCUUUCUUUCUGUGUGUGUGGGUUUUGGGUCUUUUUGAUGAAAGAGCAGCAGAGAUAUUACCAAGGAAGUAUUUUAAGCAGAGAUAUUCUUGAGAAUUGGUUUUGAAAUAUAUUCUUUUAUUCAUCUAAAAUUUUGGAGAAUAGUGGAACAAUGAAAAUUUUACCGGUUUGGAGGGUUGUUUUGAGUUGCAUUUGAAAAAAGAGGUGUUCUCGUAUUUAUGAUGAGCGUUUUAAAAGUUACAGUGAGCUGUUGGAAAACAUUAGACUUGAGUUGAGAAUAAUGUGGUAUAGAUUUGUUGCACUACACUAAUGUUUGUUUUGUGUUAACUCUAACUUUGUUAGUGUUUUUCAGUUAAUGAGAAUAAAUUAUUUAUCAAAAAAAAUUACAUAAGAUUUUAAAUCCACCUAAAAUAUAAGGAGCUUUUUUUAAAGAUUUUGUAACUGAACUCGUGUCUCUAAUUAGGCCAGGCCAAGCAAUGCAUUACAUUUCCAAAAUCACUCUUCAUACUCGUUAGGCAGAGCCAGUAUUAAGUCCAGGAACUGACUUUAUAAUCAUAUGAAGAUCUAAGAUAUUCUGUAAUCAUCUCUAAUUGCAGGGUUAAAGUGUUAAAGUGUAAAUAAAUUUAGAUUUUGAUGUUAAAUUUGGUUAGUCAAAGUGUUAAAUUUAGCUCACUAAUUUAAUGAUUUGUAUUUUCAGAUGGGAUUUUUUGUGAUUUGUGAUUUUUUUUGUUCCCUGUCGUUUUUAUUUUCGUCAUAACAUUUUUAUUUUAAUUCUGAUUUGGAUAAUUGUUAUAUCCAAAUUUCUUUCUUUCAAAAAAGAAUAUAACAAAAUCAAUUUUGACAUAAAUGACAAAAAUGACAAAAAUAGAAAUGGUGAUGAUCAAGUUUAUAUCCACCACUAUUGGAGCAGAAACACUUAUUGAGGUGCUAAAAAGUCAAAUUUAACUAUUUUAUUCGACAAUAUGUAUAGUCUUAAGUAGUGAUGAAGUUUAAUUUAUUAAAAAACAGUAGUGAUGAAGUUUAAUAAAUAUUUAUUCCAAGUUUUAAUCCUUACUCCUUAGCCGAUGUGAUUUACUCUAUGGGGAAAUUAUACACUAACUAUAUGAUAGAAGUAUGGUUACUCAUUGGUUGAGAGAAGUAUCCAGGGAAGAAAAUGGAGUUUUGGGGGGGUUUGUUUAAUUUAUAAGAGGAAGACUAGUGGCAUGGCUAAACUUCUCUCUCCAUUCCUGCAACUGCAAGUUUCAGAAGGCAGAAGUGAAAUGAGGAAAUGGGGAUAAAUGAAAUUUCCCAGAAUCAAUUUCCAAGUGGAGGGGUGGAAAUGAAUGAAGCACCAAUGACCAAAAUUGUAGUGUGUUGGUGCUACAGGGUGGUUUGAGUGGAGCAGAGAGCAGUAGGGGGGGGGGGGGGGAAUUCAAUCCCCCUUUUUUUGUGUUGUUUGCAAAUCCCCAUUUAUGGAUGUUCUGAUUUGAGAUGAAAUGGGGCUCUGUUCGGCUCCUUUUGUCCUGUCAUACCAUAUGUAUCUUCAUUCAUCUCUACUGCAAACUGAAGACAAGUUAGUAUGAUGAAAUGAAAUAUGCAUGUUGUGUCCUAUACUAUAUAUUUUCGUUUAAAAUGUAGGGCUUAGCCGAUAGGAAAUUUAAUAAGUUUUUAUUGCAAUAUUGUGUUUAUAUAUUUUAAAAUUCUCAGUGACUUCUUUUUCCUCUAUGACAUCGUUUUUCUUGGCGGAGGAGUAUGAUGUGAAAUGUGUACAAAAUAUUAUGCAAGUUGUAAAAAGUAUAAUACACCAUUCAUGCAAAGGGUAUCAUAGUUUGUAUCAUACAACUUGUAUUGCUUCACUCUUUGUCUUUGCUUCCCUCUUCCCCUUCCUGUUCUUGUUGUCUUUCCCAAUCAUCACAUUUGCAUGACUCUAUGUAAGUUGUUUGUGAUGGACAUUUUUCUCUUUUAUUAGAGUCUUUGGUUGUAGAUUUGAUUCUUAAUUUUUAUUUUGGUCUUUUUGGAUGUAUAAAGAAUUGUUUUCUUCUCUUUUUUCUUUCUUCUAUUUCUUUAUUUUGUCCUUAUGUUGGUAAUUCAGAGUUGUUGUUCUCAUAUGAGUUUGGAAGCCGAUCGAUGAAUCAGAGAUAAAAAAGACCGUAAUCGAAGAAAAACUUCUUUUUUUUGUUCUUGACAGUGCCCACGGUGGUUUACAUGGCAGUUUCCGAUGUUCUUUCUGAUCAACGACAUCAUUUUCUUUUGUCCGACCAACGGCUGUACCAAGAGAUGGAGAGAGGCGGCUGCAAUCUUUGGUGGGUUGAGAUUAGGGAUUAUGUUGUUGUUCUUUGUGCUAGGGUUUUGCUCUCGGGCUUCAUGAGUUUAAUGGCAUGUUUGUUUUAUUUUUUUGUCUUUUUUUGACUUUGACCUUCCUAUGUAUUUCCUCUUCCAGUAAUAAUAUAUUUUUGAUUUGUCAAAAAUACAACUUGUAUUAUAUAUACUAAGUGAAAUACACUAUACAACUUUUAUACAAGCUUCAUACUACUUGUACGUAUAAUGUACAUAUUUAGUACACAAGUCCAUAUAUAACAAAUUGUGACACAUAGUGUUUAUAUUUAUGUAUACAGAGUGUAUAUAAGUUUGUAAGAACCAUAAGUUGUAUGAUCGGUUGUCGAAAAAAAAAUUAAGAACGUAAAGUUGACGAUGGAAAUUGUUUUUUUGCCACUAGAGAUAGGAGUCGCCAGAAAAUUAAUUGGAAAACAUUAUGAUGAACGAAGGUGCAACUUCAUUUAUUGUUCUUAAUUUCCAUUUUUACCCUUCCAAUAUGGUCAUAUUUGAUUUAAAUUUUUUAUUUGAUUAAAACCCAGCCAUCUCAGAUCGCCGGCUCAUCGUCUCCGUUCACCAUACCAUCAUUUCCAAUGACCACCAGACGACCAUCUUCAAUCAUCAGAAAAUUUCCCAAUCAAUUCCCCGGGAUUAUGAGCAACGUUGGAGAAAAUUUUUGCACCUCCGUGAUCACUGUUGGCGACUCAAGUUUUUAGAAAUAUUUUCCGACGACUGCCUAUACAAUUUUGUACGGUUCAUACAAAUUUGUAUAGGUUUGUACAAACCCGUAUGGCUUGUGUACAAAGUGUAAUACUAAGUGUAAUAUUAUAUAUUGUACUAAGUGUUAUACUUAGUAUAUAUAUCUGUAUGGCUAUGGAAUGUUAAUUUUACCCCAUAUUUUCAGCAUUUAGAUAUAAAACAUGAUUUUUAAACGGCUGAGAUUUAUGUGCGUUUCUUUGGAUCGGAUCGAAACCAUUUUUCUGGCUCAAGAUCCGGAUUUGGAUGAUGAGUGCCAAAUGGUGAGGUGACUCAAAUAUAUUGUGUUGUAGGACAUUGUUGUAAUUGGCUUUAAAAUUCGACCCCCACUCUUUGUUGAUGACCGACCGGGAAAAGGAAAAGAAAUGUAAAUGGGAGAAGGGGACCGACCUGCAAAAUGGUGGUAUAGUAAUGUAAACUGUAGUGCUGCAAAAUCUUUGUUGGGUACUGCGUUUUAUUCUUCAAGCGUGGAUGGAGAACAAGAAUUGAUUCUUCCACCAUACAAUAUUACUUUGAUUGCUUGGCUUUCACCCACUAUCAAUAAGCGAGUGAGUAGAUUGGUUUUGUUGUUAAAACCAUCCCAACCCCCAACGCUCACCCCGAGAUGGUCACUUUAGGUAUAUGGGCCGAUCUACUAGCCUGGGCUAUUGGGCAGAGCUGCUGGGUUGACCCAUUGGGUGCUGGCCCAUCAAGCGUCACUUGAAUAACUUGAAAAAUAAAAGAGCAAAGAAAAAUACUUUUAAAACUUUCCCCCCUAAAGUAAAUGCAGUAGGGACAUUGGAUAGUGGUGGCCGACCCCUGAAAAGAAGAGUUAGAGCACGACCUCAGCAGUUUUCGAGGUCCCCCCCGCACAACGAUAACGCCUGAUCAGAUGAGAAGUAAUAAAUGAAGCUCCCCAUACAUACAUAUCUAUCAACUGGAUUUUUCACCCAGAAGAUCUGCCAAAGCCAGUCGAGUAAUUAAUUGCAAAAGCAGAUAAUAACAUCAAAACGGAAAUCCAUCCAUUACAGCUUUCAUUUGUAUUCAAACUUCUUUUUGCAGUAAACUAAACAACUGUACUAAGUAAUGCUAAGCCAAAAUCUUAAAAGGUCUGUUGGGGAGCUCAAGUGGUCCUUCCGCGAAACAUGCACAACGAAAAUAGAGAGGGAAGCUGUCGACACCCGUCCAACAGCAGACCAGUACGAACAUUAGGGGUUGAUGAAGAAACCAAACAGACCGUCUCUGCUGAAUCGGAGUGAAGAACAACAGGCGAGGUGCAUUGCAAAUGUAACAUAUAUGUAUUACCAACAUAAUUUUGAAACAGUGCUAAAAAUGAAAAGAGGGUCGGCAAUGGGAAAACUUUACUCAAUUAAUUUUGUUACUAUGUGAUAAUUAAGAAAUGAAAUAACAACGUAACUUAAAGGUAAAAAUUAUAAAAAAAAAAAAAAAAAGAGAUUGAGCCGUCCAGCCAAUAUCACUCCCCACCAUUACCCUUGUCGAUCCCUCACCCUUCAAAACCCAUAAUCAACCACAACUUCUUCUUCUUUUUCUUCUUCUGAAAUCAAAGUCCACAGCCAUGUUCUUCCACAAGCUCAUCAACACCAUCCAGUCUCCCAUGAUUACAACAGUCUGCAAAGAUAAAAUAAGUGAGGAAAGUCAUGGAUUCAAAUUCCUAAAAGUGAUUAGGAAGAGGAGGGGUAGGCGGAUUAAGUUAAUGAAUAAUAUAGAAACUAUUCUGAACAUGGUGUAACGGUUCAUAACAUGGUGUCAAAGUCUUCAAAGAACUUAGUGGUCUUCGUUUUGAAUCCUGGUAGCCCCCAAUCCGUGUGUACAUGACUUACCAAAACUGUGCAAACCUCAUUUCUCACGAGAGCUUCUUUUACACGCCCCACAACUCGAGAAUUAUCGAGAUGUAACGGUUCAUUUAGUUUACUCAAAAAAUCACAUAAAUUUGAGAAGAUGGAAAAAUGGCAAGUGAAUGACUAAUGUUUUGGUAUAGUUAAUUUAGUUCACCUAACAAUUGCUUCUCUGUAGAGGGUUGUUUGUUUUUUAUAUUGUCGUGUAGCCAUAAUGAAAGUGAAGGAAAGGUUGUGAAGCAAAGCAAAGCAAUGAAUACUGGAACUAGACAGUUUGAGAGAGUGGAAAAGAUUGAAGGAAAUGAAAGGACAGUUUCCAGACUUGGCCAUUUGUCCUAUCUCAUCCCAUUUCCACGAUGCAUUAUUGUGUCACUAGCUAUCUCAAUCACUUAAUAAAUUUCAUGAAUAGUUCAUUAUAUUAUUUUCGUCCAAGUAAAAUACUAAUCUAUGAUGUAGAAAGAAACAGUAGAGCUAUGGCACUAUUGAGUCACUGAUUGAGUCAAACUAAGCCGUAAAGUUUGUCGAGACAGCCACCAAAAACGAACACACAAUACUCCUCAUACCCCUCACUACAAUAAUUCACAUGGCUAACUGUGGUUUUUUUCUAAUUUAACAGCGGAUAAACCGCUGGAUCAUAUUCUGAAGUUAGGUUACAAGAAUUCACAUAGCUAACAAUGAAUCCCUUAACGUUGAAAAUCCGAGGUUACAUGUAUGAGAAUUGAUUUGUGCAGUUAGGUUUCUGAAUUCUUGCAGUGCCUCCCCCCUAACAUUCAGUUAUAUAUCAAAUCUUUAGGUCCAGUUGCUCUUUGCACAGCAGAUAUCCAACUACACUUUAAAUCACAGUACAAUUUGUAGAUCUGCUACUAUUUCACAAACAUUCAAUUUUUCACUCUAGCUGAGGGGUAAAAAAUAGUACCCCGGGUUUCAUGGAGAAACUGUUAGUCUGUAAAUGUUUCUGCCCUGUGCGUUUCUCUGCUAAAAAUAUCAAUGAAAGCUUUCUUUCUAUCUAUUUAUUGUGCCAAACCAAACACACUUCAAUUUUAGGGCAAUCCAAAACCUGGGUUCAAUUGGGUUUUCAUCAAAGUUGAAAACUUUUGUCAGUUUUCCAAAUCUAAUAUCAUAAACAAUUGAUUUUGGAUCAUUACUAGCAAUAAAGUCUUCACAUUUCUAAGUUUAUAUUGUCUAAGAAACUCCAUUUGAAAUAUGUUAAUGUACCUCUGUUAGAGAUGAGCAAAUGUGUCAGAAUACCCCUCCAAAAUUUUCGAUAACAUAAAUUUGAUGAUGGAAAAAGUGACAACACUACCCUUCUCCCAGAAGUAGGACAGAGAUUUCAGAUUUUGCAUGCAUAUGAUAUAAGCAACAACAUAGGAAUCCGGGAUGGUCGGGAUCGAUUGUAAGACUGUUCGUUUGGACACGUGUACGGUGAUAAGGGUAGGUUUGAAAAUCUAAGAGGGUAGAAAAAAAGACUAAAGAACAGCAAGAGACAGAAUGUCUGAGGAAAAAGUCAGGUUCUUUGUUCAGAAGAAAUUGGACCCAAUUUUCCUCUUUCUUGAAAGGAAAAAGAGAAAAGGAGAAGUGAAGUGGUACCUCAAGGAGGAAAGUUGGCCAGCUCUUAAACCAAGAUGACAACACAAAGAGAUGAUCAAUGAUGGUGAGCCUUUGAUGAUCAAACGGCUCUCAUUAAUUAGCACUGUUCUGACAAAAUUCAAAGUGGGGAAGAAACAAGGAUUAGCAAUAAAUAACAACAAUGUUUGAACAAAACCAAUAUUAUGUUACAAUUUGUCAAAGUGAUGCCAGUCUCUACAGUUCCAUCUGUUGUAAGAUUUCUGGAGAAUAACUAUACUAACAAGAACCCAAAUGGAAUUAGCUAUUAAGGACCAAAACCCAGAACCCAGAUCUCAGAAUGCCUUGUGAACGUUGAGGUUUUGAAGGAAUGGGAAUGAGAAGAGGAGGGAAGAAAAUUGUGGAGAUUACUUACUAGCUUGCUUGCACGGUACAGUAUAAAUUGGUGGAAAUGGUGGAGGUAGAACAGUAUUCCCUCUGUCUUGUUGCAGACUGAAUUCUUGAAACCUUCAAACUUUGAGCUACUUUGAGAAACUUGGAGACAGAGAAGUGGAUGAAGAAGAGCUGAGAAGAGCAUUUGAAACAGAGAAAUGGAGAGUGAAUGAGAGAGAAAGAUGUGGGGGGUAUGUUUUAUGCUAUGGUCUUAAAGUAAGAACAGAGGACUAUAUAAUAAUAAUAAAACAUAGAUAAUGUUUGGCAUGAGUGAUAUUGGGUGAUAUGAAUAUUUAAUAUCAUUGAAUAGUUAGUUAUUUGAGAUAUUUUGGUGUUUCGGAGUUUAAAUAGUUAACUAUUUAGUGAUAUUGAAUAUCGUAAUAUUGUGUUAUUCAAUAUUUAUCUAUAAAGGGUGGUAUUGAAUAUUACCCUAAUAUUUUUCGAUGGACAUAACUACCCAAGGCAAUUUAAUCAAACAUGUGAAUGCUACAAUGGUAAUUUUCUCUAUCUUUAUUAUUACAAAUCAAGACCCACAUUAAAUCUUUAAACUGGUUAGAGUCGCUAUCAAAAUGUUAAUUGAUACUAGUUUUGGGAGGGGGGAAGAAAGCAAAAGAGUUUCUGAUAUGCACAGUCACAAUCUGAUUUCUUAAAACUUAAAGUGAGAGAAGAGAACACAAAAGAAAGAAGAGAAGCUCACUUUGGGUUUUUAUUUCCACUCUACUCUCUACAAAACUUGUAUUAAAGGUAAAAAGAAUGGUGACCAUGGUCCAUGGGGAAGGUGUAGAGAUUGUAGUUUCAGUAGUUUUCCCUAGCUAGUNNNNNNNNNNNNNNNNNNNNNNNNNNNNNNNNNNNNNNNNNNNNNNNNAACCGUACGUACUAUUUUAAUGGUUAAUAAUUAUGUUUAAUUUUGAUCAAUCUCGUAGUCUAUGAUUUGUGAUUUUACAUCCAAAGGGUGGAACAAUCAUCGAGGAGAUCAAGAGUUAUAUGGCGAUUAGAGUUUCACAAUGGAGAAGCACACAAGACUGCUAAAGUUUAUUUUUGGGACUUCCUCACCAUUCCAUAAUCUCAUCUUUCUAGUAGGAGUUGUCUUCUAUUAUUUUGUAAGAAAAUAGAGAUCUCGAAUCCUGAAACACAAUAAUCAAAGAUAAAUUAAAUUAAAUUGAAGAACAUUAAACAUAAAAUUUAAAGGAAUUAAACUCGACAUAAUGUGAUUGUGGAACUUAAUCCACUGUCUUUAAAGAAAGAUUUCCUUUUAACUCACAUGCUUAUAACUAAAAGUCAUUACAAUAUUCCUACGAUCUUUUGACAUUCAAAAUCAUAAGUUGUAACUGAAACGAUCUAAGAUUUAGUAGAUGAUUAUUGAGAUCUUAUAGUUCACAUAUUUUAUAAUUUGAACUUGAACACUUUUCAACUACCCAGAAUUUCAAGAACAUUAGUGAAUCAAAGUCACCAGCCCUUCUGGCUCAUAGACCCAAUCCCCCAUCAUUAUUCUUCAUGCAUCAGAUACGAUUUCUACUCCGUCUUCAUAGAGUGAUAGCAUGGAGUGGUAGAAUGGAAAAAACUAGUAUUCCAUGUUCCCUCCAAAGCCUAUUGCAAGUUGGAUUUUUGAAGCUAAAUGACUGUUUCAUGCUGUCUGACGAUUGGUGUCGACGGAAGGGACUGGUGUUACGGUUGGAGGGCGUGUGAAAUGCAUCUGUUACCUCUUAAGUGUAGAUUCCAAGCAAUGCUCAUUUUAUUAAUAGGAUUAAAGUCUUGCGACCGAUGCAAAUAAGCGCCCGCCUAGCUAGAGGUACAAACCUCUAAAGGCCGCAUGGAGUCAGUUCAUGAAGACACCCAUUUCCUUGCACCCUCUCAAAGCAUUACAAUCAUUUGACAUCCAAACAAAGAAAGUAAACAAAAACCAGCAAACGAAGACAGAAAAUCUGAAGAAAAUUACAAAAACGGUCCAAAACUAUGAGAAAAACUAAAAAGAAACCCAGCAAGUUUGGGAUUAGAACCGCCUUAUUAAAGCCAGCUGAGAGAGAUUAGAACCUUAGAUGAAUAGGAUUCCAACGCGUCAAAGAGUUGGACCGCAUGGCCUAGUGGCCACACUAUAGAUCUUCUUAUUGAGGAAGGUCCUCACAGCACAGAGCUCAAACUCCCAGACAUGGAGGACCUCGAUGAGGUCAACUAGUAAGAAGGUGGUGGCUGUUGGUUGAUUAACGACGGUCAGUUGUGCAGCAGCCGCCGGGUGGGCGGCGAUGAUUGGUGGUGUGUGGCGUGAUGUCGACGGACCGGGCAGGAUCCAGUUGGACAUGUGGCAGGGUGAAGCGAGAAAUAGAGGGUGGCCAUCGUGUGAUCGGUGGUGGCAGAGGAAUGUCGCGAGACAUGCCGAAAGCGGGAUAGAUGUGCCGCAUUGAAGAUCAGACGGAUGCGAGAGGACCUUUGUAAUACCCCGAUUUUAAUUUUGGUGUCAUGAAUACUAUUCUGUAAUCUAUUAAUAUAUUUAGUGGAGUU
rnacentral:lncRNA from 1 species